UUUUUUCUAUUUCUAUGUUUGUUAAAAUCCUAUGAAUCAAUGAGAACCGGUUAUCAUACCAAUGCAAACAACAAGUGACGAGGCUAUGCCCAAUUUUUUUAAUACACACAAAAAAGGUCAAAUACACAGCAAAUGCCAUUCAUCUGACAUCAUUCUUUGCUUUAUUUAAUUAUUUCUCCAUUAUGAAAAUGGUCUUACACUUAAGGCCUAGGUACUUGCGGGUGGAGGUGGUAGCGUUAUUUCCGGAACACGAUAACCUGCAAAAUUUCAUUCUUCACAUCAUAAUGAUGAACAUGAGAAAUUAUAUAAAGUGUAAAUAUAUAUAUUUGUGUGUGCUUGUGUGUGUGUGCGCGCGCGCGCAAAUAUGACAAUAUACCGACCUGCACAGUGACUGUGUGUGCGCAACCCAUUGCCGCAUACAUGUGUAGCCAUGGCAAACUUGGCUACACUGAGCAAAGUCAGUUCGUGAGCGGUGAACCGAUCACAGACGCAGUGGAUGUCUUUUGCAUCUCUUAUUGUAUUGCAACAUGCACUAUGGAGUGGCGGGUACUGGUCACCAAGUUUCUUUUCAAUGUGAUGCCAACAGUCUCGCAUCACCUUUUUUUUAUCAAGGAGGCAGUGAUCUACCUCGUUGGCUGCUCGUGCAUAGAGCGAACAAGAAGAGAGAGCCACAAGGACUAGGAAGCAUAACACUCUAGCUACUUUUGCGUUGGUCAUGUUCUAUGUUGUGUAGCACUUGGUAUGUGUUUAUGCAAGACUUCUGCGCCACUCAGUCUCUAUAUAUAGUGGUCAUAGUGCAAGUUUUUAGACUCCAUUUGCUCAUCGAUCGCUUAAUUGGACUCUUUUAAUUAAGUGAGAGAUAUAUGACUUGGAUAUGUUAUAAUUUAAUGUUUGCACAUCUAGAUCUUGUAUCAAAUUGUGGCAAUGGAUGUGGAUGCAACCUAUUAAUUAUUGGCAAUGGAGUAGUUGAUUUCGAACUCUUAACAGAUAUGUGUACAUAACUUGGAUAUGUUGAUAAUUAAUGUAGGCACAUGUGUGGUCCUUGUAGUAUCAAAUUGAUGGUAAGGGAUACUUCUAAUUAAAUAUAGCUAGGUGCAUCCAUUUCUUGUAUCAAAUUGAUGGUAACGGAUAUGUAGAUAAGCGUAUCUAUUUGUCUAUCUAUAUCUAUAUCUAUAUCUAUAUCUAUAUCUAUCUAUCUAUCUAUCUAUUUAUCUAUCUAUCUAUCUAUCUAUAUCUAUCUAAUACUAAUAACGGACUCCCUACAUAUUAAAAUGUUAAUCAGUGAAAACAAGAAAUAGAAACCGGUGAUUUUAGCGGGCCUGAAUUACUACGGUUACGAUCUAUUAAUAAAUCCCUUGGAUGUUUCAAUUGAAAAAUAGAACUUGGAUCUCAAUCAGGGAAAAAAGGAAUAGAUAUGAUGCAAUCUAAGCAAUCGUUCAGAUUCGACACGGUAGAUGAGACGUCAUGCAAUUGUCAAAAUCAUGAUCGUGUUUCUUUGUUACUAACCUAGAUACGACCUGAUUCGUAUAUCUCCAGCCAAUUUGCAGUCCAUCGAUUGUUCCAAUGCCAUCUCAUGGACUUGGCUUGGAGGAACUAUGCCACAUGAUAAAGCAGUCCCGAUGUAAUCUCUCUGACCUUCUCAGCAUUCGCCACGGUUGUUCCUAGCGAUGGAUAUCUGCCGGCACCAACCAGCACACAAACUGUAAGUAGAAAAAGACGAUCGAGGAUUAUGGUUAUCGGGAUUUAGACAUAGUUUUCUUAUCUUUUAGAUCCGCUGAGGAUGUUGUUACAGUGAUGGAACAUACGUCUGGCUACCUAUAUGCUCAACACGGGGUGGUGCAUAUUUGGUUCCAUCAAUAAUUUAACGCACUAACCGACAGUCAAUCUUUCUUUGUCUUUUGUUUCUUUUUUAUAUCCUUUGCUAGUUCUUGCAAUCUUCUAAAGAAGUCACGUUCAGUUGGUCCCUAUUUGUUCAUGGAGUUCUUUCAUGAUCAGUAGAAACUUGAUGUGUGUUGACAUUGGCAUUGACGGCCCAAAAUAAGGAUAUGAAUAUGUUGCAUUAAACUUCUCUCCUUGCCAAUACCGAUCCUCAUAUUUGUGUCUUGGGGGUGAUCUUGGUUUCUUUGCAUGAUUUGGCCGAUAAACAUUCUUCUCUUCACUCUUCUUUUGAUAUUUAUUCAAUAGUUCAGCGAAGGUGAUUUUUGAUCUCUUACACUUGCGCUUAUUUCGGCCUUCAUUUUCUUUUUGUUUGCUUUCGUCGAUCAUUGGAGUUUCUUGUUGCCCCCCGGUCCUUAGGGUCUUCAUUGUAGCUUCGAUGGAAUUUCCCCCCUCAAGAAUAUUAUCAUUGUGCUCUUGAAAGACUUUCUUACUUGAAAUAUUAAUCCCAUUAUCUACAGUUUUUACCUUCUAAUGUUUAAAUAGACCAGCAUGAAGCAGCCGAUGCAAAAACUGUUUACCAACAGGACCGAUCGGAAUAGACUGGUCAUCUCUUGGUGUCUCAACAAAUUUCAAUCGUCCUUUAUCAAUGACCGAUUUAACUAUUUGACGAAACAUAUUACAAUCCUCGAAAUUAUGUUUGAACGAAUGAUGCAAUCUACAAUACAUUCAUCCUUGGUUUGAUGGCUUGAAGUGGUGAUCAAGAAUUCUAAUGUAAUUAUUUUUCAGCAACAACUCAAAUAUUUGAUCACACAUGCUUGAAUUGAAGGUAAACUUUUUAUUUUCUAGACGAUCUUGUUGUGAGAACGGCUUUAGAGGUAAGCACACGAAUGGUUCAGAUUUGGAAUCUCCCCAUUCGGCUAUGAAUUUUCUUUUGCAUUCUUUUUCCGAUGUCAUUGGGUAAGAUAUUAUACUAGCAUUGAUUUUCUCAAAAGAAUCUAAACUUGACUUUAUGUUUCUGAAACAAAAAUAGUUAGAACACACGUCUCAAUGGAGACCAAACGCAAGCCAAGUAAGAAAUAAACAAAGCUACCCAACUAGAUAUGAACUUUAGAUAAAGCAAUGGGGAAAGCCUUGGCUGUAACAAUAAGUCACUAUCGGUCUUUAUAAAUGGCACAAUGGGUUGACCGAUAUGCUCUAUAACAAUUUUAUCACUUAUAAGUAAAUUAGCCUUCUUCACUGGUCUUUCAAAAUUACUUAUUAGGAUUUUUUAAUAGAUGCAUCAACAAUAAAGUUGUGACCAAAUAUGAAAACAAGUAAAUUACUUGCUAGACAUACCUCUUCAAAUUUGUUGGGAGAGCAUGAUGGUGGUGUGACUUGAACAAUAUCUUGCUCCGUCUUUGGAUGGCUCCCCAAUGCCUUUUCAUCAUCUUCUUCUUCUUCUUGAUUCCGUGCAUUAUUACAUCAAUGAUCUUUGUCAGCCGAGCUUUUUUCGGCUACUUGUUCUUGUCCUCGAGGCUUGUCAAUUUUUACGGCACGGAACUCAUAGGGCAGGAAGUAGGUUCCAUUAACUUUAAAAAAAUCAAGCACGACUGUUUUCCUAUGCUUGCCAUGACCUUUCUCAAUAAUGCUUGCCUCUUUGGAUUUGAUGGAUUUAGAAUACACGCUACUUGAUUCGGGGAUUUCAACCGAAGCACUUUCAUGUUUCAAAUCAAUCCUUCUUUUCAUUGUCUCUACCAAUUGGCAAUGCUUCUUUUAUUUGAGCCAAUCUUUUUUUUUGUUUCUGGCAGCGAGCGGCAAAACUGGCUUUAAGUUUUUUCUCAAUUUCAGCCCACUCCGGAUAUGAUUGCCCCCCAAAACUGACACAUGAGUGUUGCCGAAACUUUGCAAUUGCGUAGGGGUGUAUAAUAUUUAGGAUAGUAUAACUGCACCUAAUCCCUGCUCUCUCACGCCAUUAGGCUCUGUGGCCGUUCGUUUUACUGAUUUAACCAUUCCUGGCCGUCAGAUCUGCUUGACACUACUAGGGAAAAGCCUAUACACAGAAUCUUACCAGCAUCGCGUUUUAAAAUAAGGCGAUGCUGCUAUAUAGCAGUAGCGCGCUCCAGCAGAACUCACUUCUGAAAUAGAAGUAGUAGUAGUGCGCCUCCUGUAAGCCGCGCUAUUGCUAUAAUUGCCACGACCCCGCCGCGAAGCUAGUUCUAGCAGCAGCGCGUUAAUACGAAGAGCGCUACUGCUAAGCCAUUCUAUCUCCCACCCCUCACUCUCCUCUCUCUGAUCCACUCACACUCACACUCACUCGAUCUCCCUCCUCAACCCCCCGCGCCGGUCCUCCCCCGCCAGCUGCCCUCGCACCCGUCGCCCGCCGUCGCCUACCCCUCCUCCCUCUGCGCCGCCGUCACCCCCUCCUCGCUGGACUCGGUACCGCCCUCCUCCUCUGUUCGCCGCCGGCUGGCCCCUCCUCGCUCCGCCUUCCUCCUCCAUCCUACUCUCUACUCCCUCCUCCAGUCACCCCCCUUCUCCCUCCUCCCUCCUCCAUCCACAACCCCUCCUCCUUGCUACAUUUUGAUUUAGUAGGCUAGUUCAUAGGCAACAUUUUGAUUUAGUUGAUUUAGUAGGCUAGUUAAUUUAGUUGAUUUAGAAAAUUUUAAUUUAGUUGAUUUAGUAGGCUAGUUGAUUUAGUUGAUUUAGUAUGCUAGUUGAUAGCUCUGAAGAUUUGGCACGACCUAGCUAGAUGCUUGGAAAGAAAUGCACCAUUUUAUUGUUAUUUUUUCUGUACAUGGAUAGCUAGAUGCUUUUAUUUUUCUGUAAUAAGUUAUUUUUUGGCAAAAUGUAGGUGCCAAUUUAGUUAAAUUUGCCACUUAUUUUUUAAUCAGUUAUCUUAGGCAAUAGGGGCCAAAUUAGAUGAAAUGUGUUGGUAGGUGGUACCCUGAUUUGGUAGAUAUUUGUGAAAAGUUUUUUCGGCAAUAGGUGCCAUUGAAAUGCUUUGGUAGGUGGUACCUUGUCAUCUUAUAUGUUACUAGAUCUUAGGAUUAUAAUUGUCCAUCAAAUUGCUUCUCGCGGAAGAAUCUCUUCAUCUAGAGAUAUCGGUGAUAUAUACACAAGAUUUGGCAUUUGCCUGCUAGCUGUUGGUUCUAUUCUAGAAGGUGUUAGUAAGCUAUGAAAAUAUAACUGAAGAAGAACCAAAAAUAUCACAUGCUACUGUUUUUCUUUCCUGUGAAGUGGAUCGUUAAUCCUUUGCUCGUAUUGCUUUAGGAAAAUGGCGCCACCACCACCACCACCAUGUCGACUGUGCAAGUUAAGGUGCGCCAGCAGCCUUGCAACUGGCAAGCUGUUCAGCAUCUACUUCCAGCCGAGUUUUCGUCAUGCGGCGGUAAGAAAUUAUAUGAAAUGAAACAACUAUUUUAUUUUUAGUGUUGGCAUUACUGCAUUGUGUCAUUUUUCUUUUUUUACACAGAUCGUCCCAUGCAAUGUGAGGUUGAAAUUCAACAAGCUGAUAGGAGACACUAUGACAUUUGAGGCUCCUGGGGGGCGUACACUAUGGAGGUCGAGAAAGGACGCAAUAUGUCGCAGAGUGGAGGAGAUGGAUGGGCCCGUUUCCUCGCCCGCAUGCGUCUUACUGGUGGUGAGUUGAUCAGCUUCUCCUUUAGAGCGGAAAGACCCAAGUUGGCUGUCAUUUAUAUCAACCUGGAUGAAGAUGACGAAGAUGAUGAAGAUAAUGAGGACUCACUCGAUGAAGAUGAUGAGUACCCACUUCAUGAAGCCAUCGUAGCUCAAAGAAUGAGGCUGAGCGAGGAGGAGGUGUGCAACCUAUGGACAUAAUUCCGCCACAUGAUGACUUUGUCGGGGUGCCAUUCGUGACCCGCCUGGCAAGUACCAUGGUCGAUCGGCAUGAUAUGGUAUGUUAUACUUACAAAUGCAAAUUAUCCGAUGAUAUGCUUAGUGUAGAGUCCAAUGAUCUGUUGUGUGGAAUCUAGUCGAUGAUAUGCUUUAGUGUAGAGUCUCAUCACAUGCUUAUUAUUGUAGAAUCCAAGAAACUAUUAAUAGUGUAGAUAAUCCAUAUAUACUUAUUAGUAGAAUUCAUGCUUAGUACAAAUGUGUAGUACUGUGUCUUUUGAUAGUGUAGAAAUCUAUACUUAAUAGAAAUAUAUUUGCAAGAGUAUGUGCGAGGCUAUUUAUUAAUUGAUAUGUUUUUCUUAUUCAGAAAUUGCCAAAGAGCCUAUCUGUGAGUUGUGGUAUCGAGCCUGAUGAAGAAGGCUCAGCUGGACUACGCCUUACCGCAAGGGGCUCCGUCACCACCUGUACUUACCGCAUGGACACGGACGGUCGCACACAGUUAAACUCGGUUGGGUGGAAGAGAUUUCUCGUUGGCAAGAAUCUUCGUGUUGGACAGGUCAUCCUAAUUACUAUCAGGAACACCCACCGCCCAGGCUUGAGGAUGAUGAUCGUCGUCGAUAUCAUCUAGAACUACAUAUGUGUGUGGCUGUAUGACUAUAUAUACCUAGUAGAACUACUAUAUAUGUGUGGCUGUAAGACUACCUACUACUGCUUGAGGAUGCAUGUUGACUAUAUAUGAAAUUGUUAUCUAGUACUACCUAGUACCUAUAAUGCUUUAUGAAAUUGAUAUCUAGUAGUACCUAGUAUCUGAAAAUUGCAGUUUAUUGAAACUGAAACGGGGUAGGAAGCGGGGGGAAAAUGAUGAAAGAUAUAGCAGUAGCGCGGGGCUAGGAAAGCGCUACAGCUAAUUAAUAGUAGCGCGUUCCGGAAAAGCGCUAUUGAUAUAGUCAGUAGUAGUAGCGCGGGUACAGACCGCGCUACUACUAACAGUUAGCUGUAGCGUUGUAGUAGUAGCGCGGCUACCCGCACUGCUGAUAGCCUCAAAACCCGCGCUACUACUAGGGUUUUCCCUAGUAGUGUGAUGUAGCGUCAUGGCCCAAUUCCUAUAGCAUCCAGACCCAACUGUCCUAAGGGGCUGCUACUCUGGAAGAAAAAUCUGAGGCCUCUUGUUAAUUGGGCCACUUGAGGCAGCCCAUUUAACCACCCUGACUCCAAGCUGUCGAUGGUUCGCUGCAGCUGUCCCUUGUACCUAAAAAACAAAUGUUUUUUUAAAACAAAUGUGAACUAACUGAAGCCAGAUAACAGCUAAGGACUUCCCUCUAGUUAGGGUUUUCUUCUCCCGGAGGCAAUCUGUCGCCGCCGUCGAGACCUUACCUUCCCUCCUCUGAUCGCUCCUCGUCUAACGUUUCGGGCUGACUUAGGGGUGAUCUCUGCAUCACUUCCCGGCCUUGAUCGUCAACCUGGUAGCGAGAAGAGAGCUAGGGUUCGUUCACAACGCCCGAUCUGACUCUUUCUUCGGGCUAGGGUUCAGGUUUUUCGCUUACGGCAAUGGGAGCAAACGCUGAUGAAGCGUCUGGUUCAGGCGCCGUGACAGAGAUGGAAAAGAUGAUGGCAGAGUUAGGGCUCAGGGAGGAGGACCUGGACGACGUUGUUUUCGACGAGAAGGCGGCGCCGUCGGAAGCUACCAGGUGGAUGGCAGUGGCUAGGGUUCACAUUGAUAAACCAUAUAGCCAAUACUGGUUCUUCAAGAACAUGAGGUCAGCCUGGGAUCUUGCGCAUGAUGUUAAGUUCCGCCCUCUCGAGGACAACCUCUACACGAUGCAAUUCUUCUGUCUAGGAGAUUGGGAACGGGUCAUGCAGGAAGGGCCAUGGAACUUUAGGGGAAACGCAGUGGUAAUUGAGCCUUAUGAUGGUGUCACAAAGCCUACAGAGGUGAACCUUGACAACCUCAAUAUAUGGAUUCAGAUCCAUGAUGUUCCAGACCUUUAUGCUCAUCUAGUUGGGCCCCUUGCAUCUAAAGUUGGGGAGGUUCUGUUCACCGAAACAGCGACACAGGACUUCGUGGGUAAUUUCCACCGUGUCUGGGUCAGAAUCAAUGUCCACAAGCCGCUCAAGAACGCGGUGUCUAUUAUACGCGAUGGCAAACGACAGAUUUACCGGGUGAAGUACGAGCGCCUCCCGGACUGGUGCGCUGUCUGUGGUCAUCUAGGGCAUGUUUUUAAGGAGCAUGGAGAUGGGAUACAUCCUCCCUCGGCCCUGUAUUUUAAGGACCUAAGGGCGACAUGGAACAUGCGGAUUGGAGCCGGCCCUGGAGCUGGUCGUAGCAAGGAACGACGCGGAGGCCGUCGCGGCGGCCGGGGAGGACGUGGCAGGGGUCCGGCAAACACGGGACAGGAGCACUCAGAGCAGGACACGGAUGGUGAUGUGGAUGCGGUGAUGAAGGAAGCAGACGGGAAUAGGAAGCGUCAGCCAGAUGACCUGAAUGUGCAUAGCCAAAAAACCAUCCCGCCUGCAGCUAACAACGCCCUUGCCCUGCCUCUGGCGAUUGUGCCAGCGAGCCCCUCAUCCAAACAGGAGCAGAAACGGCUUAGAUCCAACCAAGACAAGAACAGUUUGAAGAAAAGUGGUGUUUCAGAAAAAACAAAUGACGCAAAAUCGGCGACCUCCCGCGAGGAGGAUCGCCGGGCGCAAUGAAUCUGCUCUGUUGGAAUUGUCGUGGUGCGGGCAAAGCCGCGACAAUUCAGGAACUUCGCGAUCUAGCGAAGCAAUUUGCCCCGACCAUGUUGUGCAUAGUUGAGACACAAAUUUCUAAGGCACGGGUCAAAAGUCUUGGUGAUACGUUAGGUUUUUCUCAUGCUUAUGCAGUUGGUAGCACUGGCCGUAGCGGUGGUCUCGGCCUUUUUUGGAAUGAUGGAAUAAAUAUAAAUGUCUUUGGUUAUUCAGAGUAUCAUAUAGAUGCCACUGUUAGUUCCCCGAACAGUAUGGACUGGCGCCUCACUUGCGUUUAUGGGGAGGCCCAGGUCGGAGAGCGGUAUAAAACUUGGGACACGCUAAAAUCUUUGGUCUCGGCUAGCCCUCUGCCCUGGCUGUGCUUAGGUGAUUUCAAUGAGGUCUUACAUGCCCAUGAACAUGUCGGAUCAGGGCAAAGGCGUGCCACCCAGAUCGCUGGCUUUCGGGAUGCGAUGGACGUCUGCGCUCUAGAUGAGUUGGGUUACCAAGGGCGACCCUGGACCUUUGAGAAGAAGACAGCGGGCGGCACAUACUGCCGAGUGCGCCUUGAUCGUGCUAUGGCAAACAGUGAUUGGGUUGCUAUGUAUCCUCAUGCCACGUUAUUUCAUGAACAUGCAGCCUCUUCUGACCACUGUCCCAUCCGGCUGCAACUAGAGCCACGGCCUAUUUCUAGCCAGGGGAGAAAGAUCUUCCGGUACGAACUGUAUUGGGAGAGGCACGCUGAUUAUAAAGCUGCUCUUGACAGUCUAUGGGCGCAGGAACCAGGAGCGAAUACUGUCGUCGAUUUGAAUAAGAAGCUUACAAACUUGUCCGUUUCUCUGACCCAAUGGAGUGGCGCCAUGAUUGGGCAAGUGUCCAGAGAAAUUAAGAAACUGAAGAAAGCCCUUGCAAACUUCCAGAAUGACCCUCAGAGAAUCUCGCCGUCGCAUGCAGAGGUCAAGACGGCGGAUCGGCUCGUCGAGCUUUAUCACAUGGAAGAAAUCCUGCUACGUCAAAGAUCCCGGGUGGACUGGCUUACGGACGGCGACAAGAACACAAAGUACUUCCAACGUCGAGCUAGCAUGCAGCGACGGAAGAACCAAAUAAAAAGCCUCCAACGUGACGAUGGGUCGACGACGCAGGAUGUGCCUGAGAUGGCCAACUUGGUGAACUCUUUCUACAAAAACCUUUUCACCUCUGAGGGCACGUCGGGGAUGAAUGAGGUUCUGGAUACUGUCCCGUGUAAGGUGACAAGCGAGAUGAAUGAAAACCUGACCGCUCCGUACACAGCUGAGGAGGUCAAGACGGCCCUGUUUCAAAUGUAUCCUACGAAGGCACCGGGACCAGAUGGAUAUCCUGCUCACUUUUUUCAAAGGCAUUGGGCCUUAUGCGGUAAUGAGGUGACAGAUGUGGUUCUUCGGAUUCUUCGGAGAGAGGAGAGCCCGGAGGUUAUUAAUGAAACUAUUUUAGUUCUCAUCCCUAAGGUAAAGGACCCUACACAGCUCACGCAAUUCCGCCCUAUAAGUCUUUGUAACGUUCUUUACAAGAUUGCUUCAAAGGUUUUGUCCAAUAGACUUAAAAUCAUUCUUCCUGAUAUUAUCUCCGAGGAGCAAUCUGCUUUUGUUCCAGGAAGAUUGAUCACCGACAAUAUCAUAACGGCAUAUGAAUGUUUGCACUUCAUGAAAAGGAACAAGGCACAAAGAAACCGUUUUUGUGCAGUUAAGGUGGACAUGAUGAAAGCCUACGACAGAGUCGAGUGGAGCUACCUGGAGGCUAUAAUACUAAAGAUGGGGUUUGCUCCCUCUUGGGUGGCUCUGAUUAUGAGAAUGGUGAGUUCGGUAAAAUUCUCAGUUUUAUUCAAUGGCAGCAAACUUGAAGAAUUCCUGCCAUCCAGAGGGAUCCGACAGGGGGACCCAAUUUCUCCAUACCUGUUCUUGCUUGCAGCGGAGGGCCUUUCGUGCCUCUUAAAAACUACAAAUGAAUCAUCGCACCUCAGUGGUAUUCGAGUAGCUCCAUCGGCACCGCCGGUAAGCCACUUGCUUUUCGCAGAUGAUAGCCUGCUGUUUGUUAAGGCCAGUGUUGACGGAGCAAAUGAGUUGUCCUCCUUGUUAGACUCUUAUUGCCAUGCCUCGGGUCAGAGAGUCAACCUUUCAAAAUCUUCGGUAUUUUUCAGUAAGGGAUGCCCAAACAAUCUCAGAAACGAAGUAAAACAGGUACUCAAUAUAACCAACGAAUCUCUAUCAGAAAGAUAUUUGGGUAUGCCCUCUGAUGUAGGCAACAACAAGAAUGGUACUUUCAAGUUUCUGAAGGACAGAGUGUGGAACAAAGUUAAAGGUUGGCUUGAAAAAAUUCUUUCCAUGGGGGGAAAAGAAGUUCUAAUCAAAUCAGUGGCUCAGGCCGUUCCGGUUUACUCGAUGUCAUGUUUCAAACUCCCUCGGGGACUUUGCGAGCAUUUGAAUUCUCUCAUAAGGAAAUUUUGGUGGGGCAGCAAGGAUGCAAAGAGAAAGGCGCACUGGGUUUCGUGGAGUACCAUGACUAGACCUAAGCAGUGCGGGGGCCUGGGUUUCCGAGAUAUCGAACUGUUUAACCUCGCCCUUCUCGCGAGACAGGCGUGGCGCAUUUUAUCGGAACCAAAUACCCUAAGCGCGAGGAUCCUAAAGGCCAAAUAUUUCCCAACAACAGAAUUUCUUCAUGCUGAACUUGGAUCUUCUCCAUCACAAGUGUGGAGAGCCAUAUUGGAUGGGAGGGACACAUUGUCACAAGGUUUAAUACGUCGGAUCGGUGACGGUCAGACUACGGAGAUAUGGCACCACAACUGGCUGCCGCGUGCCCACAAUAUGAGGCCGAUCACGAGCAGGAUCCCUAAUCCACCGCAGCUAGUUGGUGAAUUGAUACGGCCGGAUGCGUCAUGGGAUAGACAGACUAUCGCUCAAGUUUUCCUGCCAACUGAUGCAGCAACCAUCUUCUCAAUCCCUCUAUGCACCAAGCAUAGUGAUGAUUUCUGGUCUUGGGCUCAUGAGAAAAACGGAGUUUUUUCAGUCCGUUCGGCGUAUCGCAUGCUAGUUACCACAAAACACAGUCGCGAAGCUUGGCUGGAGGGGCGCUCAGAUUCUUCCAACUCUGAAGGUGAACAAAAGUCGUGGUCCAAAUUAUGGAAAAUAGAUGUGCCUUCAAAGGUCAAAAUUUUCCUAUGGAGACUAGCCCAACAGUCGAUUCCGACAGCGGACGUGUUACAUCAUCGAAACAUGUCGACAGUGGAAACUUGCGGGCUGUGCGGUGCAACAAGUUCCUGGCAGCACUCCCUUCUUCAUUGCCAUGUUUCUCAUUCUGUUUGGGCUUUGCAAAAGCCGGAAAUUUUUCAGGUACUAACCGAAACAACUGAACCAGAUGCAAAGCGGUGGAUCUUCUCCCUCCUGGACACGCUCCCGGUGGCGGAGUUUACACAAGUCCUGGUUACUCUCUGGGCUCUCUGGUUUUCCCGACGACAAGCUUUACACGAGCAUAUUUUCCAGAGCCCGUUAUCAACCCACCAAUUUAUCAUGAAGUACAUACGAGAGCUCAAUGACUGCAAGCCAAUUCCGGUGAAGCACACCCCAGCAACCCAAUCUAGUGCGAGGAAGCCUAGAUGGAUAAGGCCUCCGGAGAACUUUGUAAAAAUCCGUGUUGAUGGGGCCGUCAAUAGAGCAAAUGAUGAAGGUUCUUACUGUGCAGUGUGUAGGGACGGAGAAGGCAACUUCUUGGGCGCGUCGGCCAUCAGAUGUGCCGGCCUCACUGAACCGGCUACGCUUGAAGCAUUAGCUUGCCGGGAAGCUCUUGCGCUUGCUCAAGAUCUCUCGUUAUCCCAUGUUAUAGUUGCUUCUGACUCCAAAGAGGUGGUGCAGGAUAUCAAGUUAGGCACUGGUGGGAUGUAUGCAACCAUUGUGAAGGAGAUUAGAGAGACAAUGGAGCUUUUCCAUCAAUGUUCCGUCAUCUUUGAAGGACGAGAAACCAAUCAAGAGGCACAUAGCCUUGCUAAGCAUGCUUUUGGUCUGGAUCCGGGGCGCCACUUGUGGCUUUUAAACCCCCCCAGAUUUGAAUUGUAUCCCUAUGAACAUUAUUCAAUAAAGUAAAGUGUGUUUAGACCUAAAAAAACCUAAAAAACAAAUGUACGGUCGAUAGGAUGUGUUGGACUCAGAACAGAGGAGGCGCUCGAGGGAGCCAGGCACACGAGGGGAUCGAGCGGUGGCGAAGCAAGACGAGUCGAGCGAGGGGAGCCGAGGUGCGUGAGUGGAUCCACUGUCACGCGGUUCAGCUGAUGCGUGCAAGGGGAACCGAUCCAACCUGAGAGGGGAUCCAGCGGAUGCGCAGGAUGCGGAUGAAUCAGGGGCUAGUCGAUCUACCUGAGAAGCCGUGCAUUCAUGGCGAUUGAUGUGCCAAUCCUUUCUCUGUCGAGUGGUACGUCUAUACAUUCUUCUUCCCCUGACACUCUCCGCUCAUCCUCUCUACAACAGCAUCACAACAUCUUUGAGCAUCACGCUCUGGUAGGAUUCCAUUCCAUGUAUUCGUUUUAGUUCAUGUAUGGUUCAUUUUUGCACGAAGAAAUUAGAUAUCCUCUCAUACAAAAAAAAUUGCGCGUACAGGUGAUGUUACUGUGCUCAAUUGAUUUCAUCUUGGAUCUUGGCAUUAGAAUAUCUUUGCUUAGCAGUUGCGUGUGCCAUUGGCCGUCAGCAUCAAGCCACCACGUAAUUCCUCGCCUCCAGGCAGCCAUUGCUCGUGACCAGUUCUGAUGCCCAAGUGCGAGACCUUCCUCAACGUCUCUUUGCUCCAAUCGCUGAUCAAAUUUGAAGCUGCCCGAGACAAAAUGGUACAAGGAAGUUCUAUGCUCCCAGGUAGACAGCAACAUGUACAUUACUACUCACGCACCCCUCUAUUUUGGACGAACAUAAUUUUUAUCCUGAUUCUGGUUCAUUUCCUUGGGAAAUUCUUGGAGGCUCUGGUUCUGAUAUAUUUGUUCAGGAAUUCUUUACCUUAUAAUUUGGUAUGGCUAUUGCUUAGAUAUUAUGGUGAAGAAUGUAUGUGUAUCAUUAACGCCGUGUAUUGUUAAUUAUUGUUGUUGUCAAUAGGAGGCAAUAAUCUGGAGGACUGAAGAUGCAGGAUGCAUCCCUAGAAAGUGGAGAUGCAUGAGAAAGCAUUGACAAAGUGAGAGAUAAGACCUCAACUAGGAUCAUGUAAGGCAGCAGAGAUCAACAUCAAAUCUGUUCAUAAAAUAGUAUGUUUAUUUCUAAUCAUGUUUUGGUUCUAAACUUCAUAUUGGUUUUGGAAAAGGGUUCCUGCUGGUUCAAGAUCAAUGUUACGAAGUGCUACAAAAUCAAAACAAAAGAUCAUUACUUCCAUUAAGAAUAGGCAAGUUGAAGAAGGGACAAACUAUUUACUUCAGAUCAUCCCCUUUUCAGCCUCCAAAUCAAAGAGUUUGUGUUCUUUAAAUGAUUUUGUCUCCUUGCAUACUAGGUUCCAUUACCAAAUGCAGUGGCAAAAAUUGUCCGCGGUGGAGUCGAGGAAAGAGGCGGGAGGAGUGCAGGUGGUGGUGGGUUAGGACAGUAGUGACUGAUGUUUCGCCGGCUCAAGGCCAUCUCCAGGCGACGUCCUCCAUAGCUAUGAUCCACUCAUUGUCAUCCACGCAUCUACCUCUACUACAAAUAAUGAUAUGCAUAAUCACCUUUUUGGGUUUGUUCAGUCUUCUGCAUGAUAAUAAUUUAAUUACUAAAACAUGGAUUAGUUAGUUGCAUUUUUUGCAUUUGUCUUUGGUAGGAAUCUUUUUUCUGGUAGAUGUGGUCCUAAAUGAUUCUAUCAUUUUUCCUAAUGAUUAACCAACUGUUGAGGAGUUCAGCAUGGUUUAUUAUGUAAUAAAUUUUCUGAGAAACGUAUCAGAUGGCUAGCUUUGAAAAUGUGAAACACAAAUAAUUGGCUCCUCUGUUUCACUAGCUAGCUCCAAGUGUAUUGUUAUGUCAUCUCAUGCCAUGACAUCCAUUCUUUAUUAAAUUAGGUGAUGUUAUUGUCCAGAAUGGUGCGACCUGUAUCAUUGUUUAGUGUGUUAUUUAGUAUGCCAAAAGUGCAGGGAGUUCACCCAAACAACGUUAUAUGGGGUUUGUACAACACAAUUGCAACCUGAAAUCAGUAAGACUACCACUACCUUAGGUUGAUGCAUGGCCAUGAUCUUUUGUUUGUACUUCAAAUUACAACUUUCAUUCUCCAUCUUAAUAUUUACUUCUUUAUGUAACUGAAUUGUUUUGGGUCUGGGUUAGAUUAAAUAUCUUGGUGCUGACGAGGUCGUCGCACAAUUGCUGACCUGCAUUUCCCACCUUUUCGUCCUAGAACACUUAUUUUCUUUCUGCGGGGUCUUCAACACUUAUGUUAACUUGCCUAACCCAUCCAUGCGCUAUAUAUGUAUUGGUAUGGUAAAACAGUUUGUUUCAAACAAGUAUUUUUCUCAUUUCAGAAGGUAAACAUUAGCAACUUUAAUAUUUUGUGCCUCCGUAUAUUUGCACAAGUUCUUAUCAUCCUGUUGGGAAAAACAAAUGGGUGCGGCAACACACGCCAUUACAUCUCUGCGUCGAUUCAUUUCACUUAAUUCUUUCUAAAGCCACUUCCUACAUAUUGUCAACAAGUCAAUAACAUUAUCAGAGAUUUCAGAUAACAACAGAGAGAAAUGAAUGGGAGCAGGGAGAGGGAAAGCAAGAUCAUUGACCAGAUCGAGGGGAUUACCUGCAAAGGUGCUAGGUCUGGGGGAGACACCGGCAUGCUGCAUCACCCGUGGCAGCUGGAUCGACCCUCCUGGGGAAAAUUGUAAACCAUGAAAAACACUUUAUGGAUUUGAACAAGUCGGUGUGUGCAGAAUGCAAAAUAAUAUCCCUACCAGCCAUCAAAACAUCAUGAUAUCAGUACAACAACUGCACGCCGUAAAGAUAUUAGUCCUGGACCCAGCAAAAGGACUCAGAUUUUGGUAGACAUGAAACUAAGAGGAUGGCCAAUAUAUAUUAGCUGAAAAUUAUAGAAGAUGACAGUUAUGUAAAAGGAUAAAUAUUUGGUUUGCCUACAUAAUGGUUCAGAAGUUAAUUCACUAGAAAUGGAAAUUAAGUUCUUCCAUGUCUAAAAAUUACUAUCAUUCAAUAGGAAAAAAUAGACGGGCGCAUCAACACGCGCCAUUCAUGAUCUAGUGAUGUAGUACUAGGUGAAGGCAUAUGCAUUGUUGUAGAACCAUAUUUUUGCUCGCCAAUUCUAUCAAUUGGCAAAGAAUCAUCUUCUUGCAAAACUCUAGAUUUUAUCGCAUUAUAAUCAGGAACUAACCCCUUAUCAUGCUCUUCAAGGCAAAGAGCACUAAUCUUGUUAUUUCGGGCUAUAUCCCUUUUUAAUGUAGCCACUUCCCAUUCUGUAAGGGAUUGCUCCACCAUACUUCUAGAUUCUUUCGGUAGUGAGGUGUUGCCGAAAUUAUGCAAUUGUGUAGAGGAUGCUUUAAUAUUAGAUGAUGGCAUGUGCACUCCUGCAAAAUUUUCACUUAUUCGGCUAUGAGCAUGAAGGUGCGGAGCCGAAUUAUGAGCAUCUACAGUUGUAUACGGUGCUGAAAAAUUACUAACAUGAGGUGUAGCAUAUGGUGGUUGAGAGUAACUGGCCGAAUAGCUAGUAGUAGCAUGGCCAAUUCUCCCAUCCGUCAGCAAGGUUGGAUUCUCAUGUUGCAAAUUAUUUGCCGGUGAAUAAAAAGGUGAAACACUUUGUCGCAUGAUAUUGGAAGUUCCAACACGAGGUGUUUCAACUUGAUUAACCGAACCCAUCAUGUUGUUCAUCGGCAUAUGGAUUUAUGUGGUUGCCGAUGCAUGAGGGUUGGGAUACAUAUGUUGCAUUAUGCUAAAAUUUUAAGUUGAAGCAUGGAGAUUACUUUGCAUCGGCUGUCGCACGUAAUUAGAUGCAUAAUUGGUAAAACAAGGGCUAGCCGAUACGUUAUGCUCAUUAAUUGAUUUAGCAACAACAUAUGAUUUAUUUUCAUCUACAUAAGGGAACUGGGUAUUCGUAUUACCUUUGUAGAUUGCAAACCCUAGAUGACGAUCUCUUCGUAGCAAGAACGGGCUAGAGACCGUUCGAAGCUUCGUCCCCAGCGGAGUCGCCAAAAAGUGUGUUCUCACACGAACACGCCACCGUGUACCCUUGACGCCGGGGGUGAUGCUCCGCAUCUCACGUUGAAGGAGACCCGUCCGGAAGCCCAGUAUGCAAGCAAUCCGGCGGGCGCUUUUGUAGACCCGAAACCACACACACCCGGGAGGGACUCCGUUAGGGCGCGCGGUGGUUAUUGGCUGCCCUAGGUCGACUUGAUCGCCCCUAGGACCUUGUGGAUAGCCGCCCUGCAACUAGAAGAACGGACGAAGAACGAGGAAGAAGAAAAACAAGAAAGAGAUAAAAGUAAAGGUAAAAGAUGAUAUAUUGAUAUGUCGAUUGUGUGUUGUUAUUCAAUCGGCCGUCACCUCUUACAUAUAUAUGAGACGGCUGGACUUUCCGUACAAAAAAAGGACUCAAAUCCCGUCCAAAACAUCAAAAGUUAACCUAACUCGGACUAGGAGGGCCGGAACUUCCGGUAGGUCCGGAACUUCCGGGCUAAAAUUGCAUCAAGUUGCCCUCUUGCACCGAUCCUGCAGGUCGCAUAUGGCUUCGGAACGCGGUGGUCCCAAAAGCAAAGUUGUAGAUCUUGCAAUGGAGAAAAAUUCUUCAGUUGAUCACUUUUUCAUUCGAGGUUAUCUUGAGGUUGAAUUCGAGCCUACAAAUAUGCAAAUAAUGUUAAAACUCUAGUUUUCGGGGCGUGUCCUCUCUCUGGCGAGAGAGGUGGACUCUAGUGAUCUCCUAUCUUAUAGACGUGCACUCAUGGUCUUCGUUCUCGGCCCGAUCUUUAUUUUCUCUUGGCAGGAGCGAUGUUCUAUGACCGGAGUGUGGGGGGUUGUCUCAACGGUUAGUCGGCUCUUUCCGGAGAUGGCUCGGUGUGUUUGGUUCGUUAGUGUCCCGUCCGGCGGUUUCUCAUUGCAGCAAGGCUCUGAUCCUCUUAGUAGCCAUGGAGGUAGUUUGUUAGGCGUGGCCUCUCCUGUUUUUCAUGUUUGGUGUUUGGUUAGUGGCACUUCUGCCACUCGUCAGUGCCACUUUGUUUUCUUUCGACUUGCUUGUAUGAGGAUUUUCUCACCACUUUGCAUUGGUUCAGCCGUUCGUGUCUUUAUAUAUAUAAAGGGAGGCGAAAGCAUGUUUUCGUGUAGUAUAGUGUAUGUUAAUCACAAUUUCAGAUCUACUAUAGCAACCAAGGAUUUGGUGAUGGGCGAAAAAAUUGGUUAUCGCUUGAAACCGCGAAUCUUGCAAUACCAAUGGAAAAACGAUUUUUUUGAAUUUGAAUGAACAGCGCACAUCACCCUUAUAAUUUCUGAUAAGUUUUUUUUUAUCAUUUUUCAUCUGUUUUGGUAUCGUUUUCCACGUAAACUUUUACUCAGGCCAGGAGCCGGAAGCGAUACUAGCCUGAACCGCACACGUCAUUGGUAGAGAGGGGACACCCGCGAUCAUUCGGGGCGAAUCGCAGCGCCCCUUUCAUACUCUCCAAGCACUUUUUUUUUGAGACAUCUCCAAGCACAUGCAUGUACUCAAGAGACUAGCGCGCGCCCCCUGAACUAUGCCUCGCUCUCCGGUGAGCUCCAGAGCUCCAACAAUUGGAGUGGACACCCGCUGCAUGAAUCUUAGCAUUGUGUGGUAGAUAACUCACCCGUAGGUACCCAUUGUUAGCAACCACAUUGUGUGAGACGUAGCCACGCCCCUGAAACUAUCGGAGCCGGAUCCUCUGAUUCGCGAAGGGAAGUCACAGGAGCUACAUUAACCUAGGGACUGUCUAUUUAGCAUUUGAUUGUUUUUUAAUUCGAGAACAUUCAAAUUUCCGGAAAAAUAAACAGCUAACACCUGUAUGUCCAAAACCUUCCACCCCUACAACUGUAUGUUUUGUAUUUGAAAGAAAACGGUUCGGGCUAAUCUCUGACAGGUCAGCAACACUCCUAUUCCAAUUCAUUUAAAAAAAAUACUCCUACUCCAAUUGUUCGCUCUCUUCACCUCUUGCAUGAACAAAUUAGGAGGAUCUUUCUUCAUCUACAAAAGGGACAGAUCAAUAGCAAACUGUAAAUCUGGGAAAUUACAUGAACUUUGCAAGCUCCAUGUAGCAAUUAAAAUGACAUGAACAUGGAAAUUACACUAAAAUUCUGACGUGGUUUACAUGUAAGCAUGUAAAAACAGUGUAAAUACAAGACAUAUCAACAUCAGCUGUAAAUCUAGGAAAUUACAUAACCUUCGCAUGCUACAUGUAGCAGGAAAUUACUCUAAAAUAUUGAGGUAGUUCCAAUGUAAAAUCUAGGGUAAUUUCCAGAAACAUUCAGUAGCAGAAACUAAUGACAAUGCAAGUAAAAACGGAUGACACUGAAAAUACCCAAGAGUUACACUGAAAGUGACCAAGAUUUACAGUGUAAAUCCCCCUAUAAAUUACAUAGUACAUACACAGUAAUUACACUGCAAGCACACAAGGAAUUACACUUGUAAAAACUGAUGAGACUACACUAAAUUACAGUGUAAAUGAGCAGGAAUUACAGUGUGAAACCCAAGAAUCCAAAGCUUGUAAUUACAGUGCAAGUGACCAAGAAUUACAUUGUAAAACCUCUAUAAAAUACAUUAUACAUACAAUGUAAUUACACAGCAAGUACCCAUGGCUUACACUGUAAUACCCAAGCUUUACGAUGAAAGUGCUUACAGUGCAAUACCCUCGAAGAAUACAGAAAAAAUACACAGGGAAUUAGAAUGAAAUUAUGCAGGGAUUUGCAGUGAUGAAGCUAUGCGGUAAAACCCCAAUAAAUUACAAUAAAACUUCAGAGCUACUUCACUAUAAUUUACAGUGUUAGUUCCGAGGAUACACUUGGAAUACCCCAACUAUUGGAAGCAAAAAUACAUAAAGUACAACUGUUUAAGUACCCAGCAAAAUUCAUCUAUAUCUAAACGGUUUGUUGCUCAAUAUUAUGUUGAUACUGGCAUUUUUUGUUCAAAUAUGCCAGAUGAGGAGCAUGAUAAAGACAGCAACUGAAGAUGAUCUAUUGAGAUUGUCUCAGGAAGAACUCAUUCUAAAUGUGAGUUACACAUUUGUUUCAGAAUAUGUUGAAAGACACUAUAGGAACAUUCUAAAUACAUAAAUAAUAAUAAAAGCUCACAACAAAUAUGUCGCAGGACACAUUUUCUAUCACCGCACUUCUACAUUCCGAUAUUAUAUUCAGUAAAAGCAAAAUUCAAAUACCACAGAGCUACCAAUCUGAGAAAAGCACAACUAUAGAAAACAAAUUGCCCUUUUGCUUGCAGGUACACUCAGGAGAUGGGCCUAUGAACAUGGAAGCAGAUGAUAAUUUCCUUUCAAGCAUUUUACGUUCUGAAAUGACAAAAACACAAGGGCCACCCAAAGAAAAUACACAAAACAAAAUCAAAAUAGUACAAGAAAAGGAAAACACACUUGAUUCAAAUAGAACUUCAAAAGAGAUUUGUCAAACCCUCCUUCAUCACCAGAUAGUUCCUGCAAAAAUAUAUUAAAAACUCAACAGACUAAAAUUAAAUAAAACAACCUCAAUAACUAAGAACAAUAAAAUAAAGCUAGAUAAGAAGAAAGAAAUAACUACCGUAGACAUAGGAUAAGAACCAUCUUCCGCAAAGUCGUUAGGCACAAUAGGUUCACCCACAGAAUCUGCAUUGUCAAGAGAUGAUACUAACCAAACGUCCAGAUGAGAGACUUUCUGUAGCCUACUCAUUAAAGUAAAACAUAUAAACAGAAUACAUGAAGGAGGAAAAAGAAAAGAAGUAAAAUAGUAGAACAAAAUCUCCAUACACUUCAUUAAAGAAUACACAUGAACAGCUAAUGUAACACUAUUUACUAGACAAAUCUAGAAAGAACACAAAAACAAUCAUCAACCUAAAACAGGACCUCUGCUCAAUACUACUGCAACGGAGACACACUAGCACAAGAAAAGAAGAAAAUAAAAAAGCAAGAAAAUACAUGAAUUGCAGUCCUAAAAGCAUGCUAAUUACACAGCAAAAUCAGAGGUAAAUCAACUGUGACAAAUACGUUGUAAGCCGUACAACAAUUACAAUGUUGAAGCAUUCAAAUUACAGUGUAAAUCUGCAGUAAAUUACAGUGUAAGCCCUCCAAUUCAAAGGUAAAAUCCACUGUAAUCUACCUCGCAAAUACCUACAACAAAUACAAUGUCGAACCAUACAAAUUAUAGUGUAAAACUAUGGCAUACUACAGUGUAAGCCCAGACGAAGAAGCCAAUGUAAUCUAUCUGAAGCAUAUAACAAUUACAGUUCUGAAGCAUAUAAAUUACAGAGAAAAUCUAGGGUAUAUUACAGUGAUGAAACAUUUGAAAGUAAUCUAUCUGACAAAAACUGAAAGCCCUACAACAAUUACAGUGCUGUACCAUGCAAAUUACAGUGUAAAACUGGGAACCAUGCAAUAAUUACAGUCCUGAAGCAUACAAAAUACAGUGAAAAUCUGGGGUAUAUUACACUGUAAAUCUGGGGUUAGUAAACGAAAAUGCAAUUGUAGGCAUAUACAGUGCCAUCUGGGCUAGAAUACACUAUAAUUUUAGGGUACAUUACACUGUAAUUAGAAUAAAGAAGCAUGGGGAUCACACUCCAAUUAUGGGAUACAUUACACUGUAAUUCUGAGGUAUAUUGCACUGACAAAAAUAAGAAAAAUCCAUGGACUAACACUACAUCAGCACUGCAGGCCUAGUACACACUAAUUCAUUGAGAUUCAGGAACCAGGGAAACUGAACACCUACAUCUAACAAGAAAAAUUCAUGAGGGAUUCAGAAACUACAAGAGCAAACAUGUGCAGGUAAGACACAUAAGGAGCCAACAAUUCAGAAACCAUAAUAGAGCAGGAAACUUAAACAAAUAGCACCUACAUCUACAUCACAAAGGGCCGGGCCAAAAUCAAACUAGGAAGGGCAAACAAAUUCAGAGGAAGGAUACACAAAUUAGCUACUACAUCCACAUUGCAUAAGCCAGCAGAAUCCCAGGCCAAGCCAUAUACAACUACAUCUACCGAUAAAAAUGCAGGCGGAAUAGACACCCAGGCCUGCAGAAAUAAAAUGGACAGGGGAAUCCACCACUACAACUACAACUUCGCCUACCUCUACAUCUACAGCAGAGGAAACAAAUCAGCAGGGGUGAAAACGACCACAACGACCAGAUGACCUAGAACACCCGAUGACUUACAGAACAAAUCACCCAUCUCAGGCAAGUAGAAGGGGAGCAAAAUGGCGGACUACAACAUGGCCGCAACAUGCACCUGCCACGGAUCCAAACAAGAAACUCAUCCUAGAUUUUGAAGCUACACAGCCACAACACAAGCAAAAUCAUACCGGGGAGGGCGAGAGACAAGAACAACCGACCGCGGCAGCCAGGGAUCAAAGAGAAAGGGAAGAGAAAUCAAGAUCGAGCGGUGGAAUAUCUCGGAAUCGACAUGAACAGAAGGAAUUGCCUCCUCUGCUCCGCCACUCGAACUCUUUCUCUCUCCCCUCGGCAUUAUCUAAACAGAGCCACCAAAUGAAAGAGGAAACGACACCCACUCCUAAAUACAAAAAGGAAAAAAAAUCAAUAGUGUCGGGCCAGGGCGACGGUAACGGGCUGAGACACAAAACCGCGCCCGACAAUAAAACCAACCGGAACAAAACAGAACCUAGCGCGAAUCUCCGCACGAAAACGGACGAACAUAGAUUUGAAUGACAAUGAAUUGGAAAACACUCAACUGUAAAAUAGCAAAUCCGUUAACCUAACUUCCCUUCCCUCUAGGUCAAUAAACAGUGCUCGUCUUAAUUUUCAAAAGACUGGCUUCAGUUUUUACAAAAUCAACUUCUAUUCGUGACAUACCAAUUUCAAUUCUCAAAAGACUCAUUUCGAUUUAUUUUUUUUGAACUCAUUUCACUUUUAACAAAAAUCUAUUUCAACUCUUUUCUACACAAGAAGAGUACUGUAGCUCCUGACUUUCCUCGUACAAGUCAGAGGAUCCGGCUCCGAAACUUUCCCCAAUCCUCAAGCCUGAGCUCGCUCACGAACACGAAAAUCAGCGGCGACAGAGAUUUUGGAUCGGUGCGGCGGUGCGGCUGAGCAAAGGCAGCGGCUGGGCUGAGGUACGGCUCCGAUCCACGCCCCCUUCUCCCCGGUCUCCUCCCUCCCUCCCACAUUUGUUUCCCGGCGGCGCGUGCGGAUAGCGGGGAGCUCCAGCUGCGGGGAACGCGGAGAUCUCCGGCGGCGGGGCACGCAUCUCCCCGGAACGGGGAGCGCCCCUCCUACUCCGUCGAGCGUGGCGGGGAACACAUCUUGCUCUGUUCUCUCUCUGUAUGUGGCCUAACUUCCGUCUCUGUCGAUUUUCCUUCAGCUAGCAGGGAGAAGCAAUGCUGGUAGCACCGAACCGGCGAGGAGAAGUAGCAGCGCACUCUUCGUCUGCGGUGGACAACAUCGCCCCCAGCGGCGGGUCUUCGCCGGCCGCGUCGGCCAUCGUCGCGCAGGCUGUUUCCGGGUCGCACGUCGUCAAGAUAGACGGCUACUCCCGCAUCAAGGGGCUUGGCAACGGCAAAUACAUCGCAUCGGAGUCUUUCACCAUCGGAGGCCAUCGAUGGUGUAUGCGCUACUACCCAGACGGCUGUCAGACUGAAGACGCAUAUUGGAUAUCCAUCUAUCUGCAGCAUAGUACUGAUCCAACUGAUGCUAGUGAAGUCAAAGCAGAGUUCAAGAUGAGUUUGCUUGACCAGGACAGGCAACCAGUGGCAUUGCGCGGCAGAUGCAUACACACCUUCUCCAGCAAAGAACGUGCCUGGGGCUUCCGUCAGUUCAUCAAAAGAAAGGACCUGGAGGAAUCCCCUUACCUUAAGGAUGAUGUUUUCAGCAUCAGGUUUGAUGUCACCGUGUCAAAGGGGAUCUUCACCGAGCCAAUCCUACCCCAUGUGGUGGUGCCACCGUCUAACAUGCACCAGCAUCUUGGACAACUGCUCUCGGCCGGCGAGGCGGCCGAUGUUACCUUCGAGGUCGGAGGCGAGACAUUUGCCGCGCACAGGUGCAUACUCGCAGCUCGUUCGUCGGUCUUCAAGGCGGAGCUCCUCGGCCCCAUGAAGGAGAAGACCGCAACUCGCGUCUGAUCGACGACAUGGAAGCCAUGGUGUUCAAGGCUUUGCUCCACUUCAUCUACACCGAUUCGCUGCCCGCGAUCGACGAGGGCGACGUGGCGGCGAUUGCUCAGCAUUUGCUGGUAGCGGCUGACAGGUAUGAUAUGGAGAGGCUGAAGCUAAUCUGCGAGGGGAAGCUGUGCGAUCACAUCUGCAAAAGCACGGUGGCGACUUCGCUGGCGUUGGCGGAGCAGCAUGGCUGUGGUGCUCUUAAGAAGGCAUGCUUGAAGUUUCUGACGUCUGAAGGUAACCUGAAGGCAGUGAUGGCAUCUGAUGGAUAUGAGCACCUGAGCAACAGUUGCCCAUCUGUUCUCUAUGAACUGGUCGCCAAGCUUGCUCCUUGAUCUCCUUGAGUCUAAACCCCACAAGAUCUGGAUAUUUAUUCUGCUAUUUAUAUUUUCAGAAGUGAUGAUAAUCCCACUACUGGUAGUCUGUUAAGGACGGUAAAGUCUAUGUGAAAACCAAUGUUGCUUGCGUUUGCUGCAUCUGUUUGAGCCCAAUCGUACUUUCUACAAAUAUGAAAACGCUUUAGAAAAUUCUAAACAUAAAUUUAGAAAAUUGAAAAUGUGAGAAAUUAUUGUUUAAUCUUUGUGUUCUGAAAAUUAAUGGAAAGAUUUAGAAAUCCAAAGGAUGAAUCUCGGAAAAAAGGAAAAGCCUCAAUUUUUUUAAUUAUUAGAUUUUCCAUCAACAUAGCCGAUCCAAGCCCGGGUAAAGGAGGAGGGUUGUGAUAGGUUUGGCGAGCCAACGUAAAAACUCAGCCACUCUUAUGGAGAUGAAAUCCAAAAGAUUUUCGUUGGGGCGUAACCCUCUCAGCGACGCGUCACAUCGGAACCCGGGUGUGGUGGAAAAUAAGCAAGGGCCGGGCCGUCAUCCCUCAGGUGGAGCUCCAUAUCUUGAUCCGGAUACGGUGGCAAAUGAGCGAGGAUCGGGCCGUCGCAUCCUUAGUGGCGCGCUACAUCGGCGCCCGGAUGUAGUGGAAAAUGAGCAAGGGUCUUCGCAUUUGACUCGACGAGUGCGAAGGGUAAAGAAGCUAGCCGAUCCUAGGAGGAUUCGCUUAGGUAGCUGGAACGUAGGGUCUCUCACAGGAAAGCUUCGGGAGCUAGUUGAUGCAGCGGUGAGGAGAGGUGUUGAUAUCCUUUGUGUCCAAGAAACCAAAUGGAGAGGACAGAAGGCGAAGGAGGUGGAGGAUACCGGCUUCAAGUUGUGGUACACGGGAACGGCUGCAAACAGAAAUGGCGUAGGCAUCUUGAUCAACAAGACCCUCAAGUAUGGAGUGGUAGAUGUCAAGAGACGUGGGGACCAGAUUAUCCUUGUCAAGCUGGUAAUUGAGGACUUGGUUCUCAAUGUUGUCAGCGUAUAUGCCCCGCAAGUAGGUUACAAUGAGAACACCAAGAGGGAGUUCUGGGAAGUCCUGGAAGACAUGGUUAGGAGUGUACCGAUUGGUGAGAAGCUCUUCAUAGAGGAGACCUCAAUGGCCACGUGGGUACAUCUAACACAGGUUUUGAAGGGGCGCAUGGGGGCUUUGGCUAUGGCAUCAGGAAUAAAGAAGGAGAAGAUGUCUUAAGUUUUGCUCUAGCCUACAACAUGAUUGUAGCUAACACCCUCUUUAGAAAGAGAGAAUCACAUCUGGUGACUUUUAGUAGUGGCCAGCACUCUAGCCAGAUUGAUUUCAUCCUCUCGAGAAGCGAAGAUAGGCGUGUGUGCCUAGACUGUAAGGUGAUACCUGGAGAGAGUGUUGUACCCCUGCAUAAGCUGGUGAUUGCUGACUUCCGCUUUCGGAUUCGUGUCCAGCGGGAUAAGAGUGCCAAAGUCGCUAGAACGAAGUGGUGGAAGCUCAGGGGGGAGGUAGCUCAGGCGUUCAAGGAGAGGGUCAUUAAGGAGGGCCCUUGGGAGGAAGAAGGGGAUGCGGACAAAGUGUGGAUGAAGAUGGUGACUUGCAUUCGUAAAGUGGCUUCGGAGGAGUUUGGAGUGUCCAGGGGAAGGAGAAGCGAAGAUAAGGAUACCUGGUGGUGGAAUGAUGAUGUCCAAAAGACGAUUAAAGAAAAGAAAGAUUGCUUCAGACGCCUAUACCUAGAUAGGAGUGCAGACAACAUAGAGAAGUACAAGAUGGCGAAGAAGGCUGCAAAGCGAGCUGUUGGUGAAGCAAUGGGUCGGGCAAUAUGAGGACCUCUACCAACGGUUAGGCACGAAGGAAGGCGAAAGGGACAUCUAUAAGAUGACCAAGAUCCAAGAGAGGAAGACGAGGGAUAUUGGCCAAGUCAAAUGCAUCAAGGAUGGAGUAGGCCAACUCUUGGUGAAGGACGAGGAGAUUAAGCAUAGAUGGCGGGAGUACUUCGACAAGUUGUUCAAUGGGGAAAAUGAGAGUUCUAACAUUGAACUGGACGACUUCUUUGAUGAGACCAGCAUGCGUUUUGUGCGGCGAAUCCAGGACUCUGAGGUCAAGGAGGCUUUAAAAAGGAUGAAAGGAGGCAAGACGAUGGGCCCUGAUUGUAUCCCCAUUGAGGCGUGGAAAGGUCUCGGGGACAUAGCGAUAGUAUGACUAACCAAGCUUUUCAAGCUCAUUUUUCAGGCAAACAAGAUGCCAGAAGAAUGGAGACGGAGUAUAUUAGUACCCAUCUUCAAGAACAGGGGGGUGUUCAGAGUUGUACUAAUUACUGUGGAAUUAAGCUGAUGAGCCGUACAAUAAAGCUAUGGGAGAGAGUCAUUGAGCACCGCUUAAGAAGAAUGACAAGCGUGACCAAAAAUCAGUUUGGUUUCAUGCUUGGGAGGUCGACCAUGGAAGCCAUUUUCUUGGUAUGACAACUUAUGGAGAGAUAUAUGGAGCAAAAGAAGGACUUGCAUAUGUUGUUCAUUGACUUGGAGAAGGCCUAUGAUAAGAUACCGCAGAAUGUUAUGUGAUGGGCCUUGGAGAAACACAAAGUCCCAGCAAAGUACAUUACCCUCAUCAAGGACAUGUACGAUAAUGUUGUGACAAGCACUACUAGAGAAAACUCUAGCAGUAGCGCGGGUAAAAUGCCUAUCAGUAGCGCGCGGAACCGCGCUACUAGUAAGGCGCUACAGCUAAAGGUUAGCAGUAGCGUGGGUUAGACCACGCUACUGCUAUAUCGACUUAGUAGUAGCGCUUCUACCAGCACGCGCUAUUACUAUUAUUCUGUAUUUUACUUCUUUUUUAUUUCAUGUUGUAUUCAUACACCUUCAUACAAGUUUUCAUAUCGCGGCAAUUUAGAGAUUUUUUUACAUCAUAAUGAGUUAUUACAUCACUGGGAGAAAGAAUUGUGGACUAGUUUCAAGUGGAUGGACAUCCACUUGAAACUAAUCCGCGGUUCUUUCUCCCAGUGAUAUAAUAAAUAUCAUCAUCAUCAUAUCAUUAACAACUUAUCAUCAUAAUACAUCAUUGUCAUAUAACACCUCCUCAUGAUCAUCGUUUUCAUCAAUGAGACAUCACAUAGCAAGUUGGUCACUAGUCAUAAUCACAACUACUCCUCAUCAUCAACUCUCAUAAACAUAUUGUACCUCAUUGGACCUACUACAUUCUCUUAGGACCUACUAUAUUCUCUUAGGUAAAAUAGCAUAAAACAAGAUAGCCCCUGACUCUCCAUUAUGGAGAAUGGAGAUUAUCCUGUCUCCAAUUCUUGCCUUUCACACAACAUUGCUUCCAAGAACCUCCGUCCAUGCAUUUUUUUCAUUCUUUGAUUAUCAUGUGUUCACUGGUUUUAGAAAUCUGGUAUGGACAGGUGAGAUUCGUAGGAUGACCUGGCUGUAUGUUCAAAACAUCAAGGCGACCAUUCUGAUACAUCAAAUGAGGCACACAAUCCAUCGGGAUUUUCUGUUGAAAAACAUAGUAAUAACUUCAUAGUUAGCAAUGAUGUACUAGUUUUAGAAGUAUGCAAAAGAUGCACAGAUGUCGUAAUAGUAAAAAAUCUUACCAGGGCAUCUCCAUCGAAGUUACCGUGGUUCAACACGUGCACUAGUGGCACGUAUUGACCAUAAUUUGAAGGAGUAUGAUAAUAGGUAUUGUAAUUCUCAAGGUCAGUACAAAAUGCGACCAGAUGAUUUUUCUCCUUAUAAGUUAAUUCGGAGCCAUCGGUGUAGUGGGUUUUGUCUACCAUCUUCCGCACAUUGUUUGAAGAAUGAAAAUAAGCUGUCAAUGGAAAUAAGCUGUCAAAUAUUUUGAAAUAAACAAUAUAAAUUAGUUAAUAACUAUGUUUGAGAAACUCACAUAGCGGUAGAAUCAGAAGCGUAUCAACAAGGACCCAAAUGUCCAUAUUGUCUUGCUCGAUGUCAGGAUCACCAAGAUCCAUGGUGAUAAUCAUAUCCUCAUAAAAACCAUACAUCUUACAAAGUGCUUCCCAAUUUUGGCAACCAAAAUGGGUUACGCUUUGAGAAUUGUACAGAUUUACUUCAAAAUCCAUAUCAUGAUGGGUCCUUAGGUGUAUUUUCUUUGUUUCGAAAUUUUCAUGGUCUUCAAACCCAUCCUCUCCAAGACAUAGCUUCUUGCAUGGCAUGGGAUGAGCUAGUCGAAAUGUAAAAGAUGAAAAUUACACGUUGAAAUAGUUGAAGUCAUGCUUAAUUACGAAAUGCACACUUGUCGUCAUUGCGUACCGUUUCAACAUCGAAGGUCUCCUCGAGCUUAAUGCUGAAGCGCCGAUCUUCGUCCAGGUGAUGCCUGUCGCACAGACCUCGGUCGUCGUUGCACCAGUCGCACUCCUCCGGGAGACUUUCGUCGUCCGAGUACGACAUUUCCUAUGUUCAUAAUUUAAAGAUUUAACUUGUACAAUUAAAUAUAUGUACUACAAAAACUAAAUUAGAUCAUUAUUAUUCAUCAUGGGUUGACUAUUGGUCUGUCGAGUCUUUUCUUGAAAACUCUCAGCUCACGUGGAUUCUUCGGCCUCGACAGACUUAAAGUCAACCCGAAAUAUCGUUUAAUUAUCUUUCUAGAAAAUCCAGGCCACUCGAUAUUUCCUACAUAUUCUAGCACAAGUCAUGCCAAAAUUAACGGAAAAUUUCGGCAUGACCUUUGCUAAAAAAGGACAUAUCGAGCGCCUAAAAUUUGCCGGAACGGAUAUUAAUUAACACUCCGGCAAAACAUAGGCCACUCGGAGGUGUAACCUACAAACAUGACCGGCCACUUGGGCAACCACAUAUCCUAAUUGAGCAACACAAGAUAUACAUGUUUUUAUCUACAUCAUAUCUUACAGGACUCAUAUUGACAUGAAGAUUUGGCUGGUCUCACCUCGAGGUCGGAGGGGGUCGGUGACGGGGACGACGGCGGGGAUGAUGGAGGGGCUCCUAGAUUUCUGUUUAAGUUAUCACUAAUACAUCCCGAAUAGUAUCGACGACGAGGAUGCGGGAUAGGCAUCGUCGACGUCGGUGCGGGUAUAAUUGCUUAAACUAAAAAAAUAACAACAAAUGUGACAUGUUCAACUAGUUCUAUUAAUUCAACUAGUUCUUACUAAAAAUAAACUUACUAUAAAUAAAAAUAAACUAGUUCUUUCUAAAAAUAAACUAGUUCAACUAGUUAUAUUAAUUUUUCUUACUAAAAAUACAUUAGUUCUAUUAAUUCAACUAGUUCUUACUAAAAAUAAACUAGUUCAACUAGUUUUAUUAAUUUACUUACUAAUUAUUUUAAACACUUACUAAAAACAGUAAAAAAAACUACAUUAUACAAUAGUAAAAAAACUACAGUAAAAAACAGAAAAAAAAGAGAUGGAGGGAGGAGGGGAAGGGANNNNNNNNNNNNNNNNNNNNNNNNNNNNNNNNNNNNNNNNNNNNNNNNNNNNNNNNNNNNNNNNNNNNNNNNNNNNNNNNNNNNNNNNNNNNNNNNNNNNNNNNNNNNNNNNNNNNNNNNNNNNNNNNNNNNNNNNNNNNNNNNNNNNNNNNNNNNNNNNNNNNNNNNNNNNNNNNNNNNNNNNNNNNNNNNNNNNNNNNNNNNNNNNNNNNNNNNNNNNNNNNNNNNNNNNNNNNNNNNNNNNNNNNNNNNNNNNNNNNNNNNNNNNNNNNNNNNNNNNNNNNNNNNNNNNNNNNNNNNNNNNNNNNNNNNNNNNNNNNNNNNNNNNNNNNNNNNNNNNNNNNNNNNNNNNNNNNNNNNNNNGGAGGAGGAGGGAGGAGGAGGGAGGGGAGGAGGGAGGAGGGAAGAGGAGGGACGGAGGGAGUACCUCGGUGGAGGAGCAGCGCGGCGGCGGCGGACGACGGGUUCGGCGCGGGCGAGAGUGAGUGAGAGGGUCGGGCGCGUGGUGAGGAUAAGGUAAGUAAGUAGUAGCGCGUUUUCGAGAUACGCGCUACUGGUAUGGAACGUAGCAGUAGCGGUGGUUGCAUAUACGUGCUACUUCUAAGUGGGGCUAGCCAUCUGCGCCCAAUACAAACAUAGCAGCAGUGCGUUUUCCUAGAACACGCUACUGCUAAAGUAGUAGCAGUAGCACGGUUUACUUAAACACGCUACUACUAAGUAGCAGUAGCGCACUGUUUUGCCCAGCGCUACUGCUAAGAUGCUGUGUAUAAGGUUUUCCCUAGUAGUGAAGUGUUCGAACAAGUGAUGUCGACACUGAUGACUUCCCGAUUAAGAUAGGACUGCAUCAGGGGUCAGCUUUGAGCCCUUAUCUUUUUGCAUUGGUGAUGGAUGAGGUCACAAGGGAUAUACAAGGAGAUAUCCCAUGGUGUAUGCUCUUUGCGGAUGAUGUGGUGCUAGUUGACGAUAGUCGGACGGGGAUAAAUAGGAAGUUAGAGUUAUGGAGACAAACUGUGGAAUCGAAAGGGUUUAGGCUUAGUAGAACUAAAACCGAGUACAUGAUGUGCGGUUUUAGUACUACUAGGUGUGAGGAGGAGAAGGUUAGCCUUGAUGGCUAGGUGGUAGCCCAGAAGGACACCUUUCGGUAUUUGGGGUCAAUGCUGCAGGAGGAUGGGGGUAUUGAUAAAGAUGUGAACCAUCGAAUCAAAGCCGGAUGGAUGAAGUGGCACCAAGCUUCUGGCAUUCUCUGUGACAAGAGAGUGCCACAAAAGCUAAAAGGCAAGUUCUACAGGACGGCAGUUCGGCCCGCAAUAUUGUAUGGCGCUGAGUGUUGGCCGACUAAAAGGCGACAUGUUCAACAGUUAGGUGUGGCGGAGAUGCGUAUGUUGAGAUGGAUGUGUGGGCACAUGAGGAAGGAUCGAGCCCGGAAUGAUGAUAUACGAGAUAGAGUUGGGGUAGCACCAAUUGAAGAGAAGCUUGUCCAACAGCGUCUGAGAUGGUUUGGGCAUAUUCAGCGCAGGCCUCCAAAAGCUCCAGUGCAUAGCGGGCGGCUAAAGCGUGCGGAGAAUGUCAAGAGAGGGGGGUAUACCGAAUUUGACAUGGGAGGAGUCCGUUAAGAGAGUCCUGAAAGAUUGGAGUAUCACCAAAGAGCUAGCUAUGAACAGGGGUGCGUGGAAGCUUGCUAUCCAUGUGCCAGAGCCAUGAGUUGGUUGCGACAUCUUAUGGGUUUCAUCUCUAGCCUACCCAACUUGUUUUGGACUAAACACUACUGGAAUCUGGCAUUUUGCCGUCCGCCACCUCUUUGCUGGCUGCCAGCUGACGGCAAAGAGGUCCUUUGUCGUCCGCUUUGAGGCGUACGACAAAGAGGUCCUUCGCCAUCAGCUAGUUCUUUGCCGUCAGCUGGCGGAUGGCAAAGAGGUGGGUGGGGUCCAAUGGAGGUCUAAACCGUAACGACGAAGAAGAAGAGUAUUUUAGUUUAGUUUUAGUUUAUUUAGUUUAGUUUAUUUUAGAUUAUUUUAGUUUUAGUUUAGAAGAAGAAGAAGAGUAUUUUAGUUUAGAAGAAGAAGAAGAUUAGUUUUAGUUUAGAAGAAGAAGAAGAAGAGUAUUUUAGUUUUAGUUUAUUUUAGAUUAGUUUUAGUUUCUGUUUUAGUUUUAGUUUUAGUUUAUUUUAGAUUAGUUUUAGUUUAGUUUUAGUUUCUGUUUGAGUUUUAGUUUUAGUUUUAGUUUAGAAGAAGGAGGAGGAGGAGGAAGGAAGAGGAGGAGGGAGAAGAAGAAAGAAGAAGAAGAAGAAGAAGAAAGAAGAAGAAGAAGAAGAAGAAGAGAAAGAAGAAGAAGAAGAAGAGGAGGAGGAGGAGAAGAAGACGAAGAAGAAGACGAAGAAGAAGAAAGAGGAGAGGAGGAGGAGAAGAAGAAGAAACUAAAAAAAAACUAAAUCGACACCCCGACACCCCGACCACCGACACCCCGACACCUGACACCCCGACCACCGACACCCCGACCCCGACCACCGACACGCCGACCCCGAAACCCCGACACCCUGAGACCCCGACAAUCGACACCCCGACCCCAGCUAUGCCGUCCGCCAGCAGACGGCAAAGAUUCAAAGGUCUUUGCCGUCUGCUAGCAGACGGCAUAGCUGGCCACGUGGCAGCUUCCCAAUGCUGGCCUAGCUGAGCUCUUUGUCGUCUGCGAGCGGACGGCAAAGAGCGCCGUUAACCCCUUAACGGCUCUCACCCCACCCCAUUGUCGUCCGCUCUCUUUGCCGUCUGCUGGCCUCAGACGGCGGACGGCAUAAUCCUUUGCCGUCCGUUUCCAGGAAGCGGACGGCAAAGAAGGCCUUUGCUGGCACGUGUUCAGACGGGCGGUUUGCCGUCCGCUGGCUGACGAGAAAGGACUUUGCCGUCCGGGAUCUAUACCUUUGUCGUCUGCCAUGGCAGACGGCAAAGAAGCUGAUUCCAGUAGUGAAAGGCUUUGUUGUUGUUGUUGUUGUUGUUGUUGUUGUUGUUGUUGUUGUUGUUGUAUUAGAUUUUCCAAUUUUCAGUACUUACCACAUGGUUGCACGGUGCUUAAUUCAAAUGUGAGGUUAUGAGUUGUUAUUACAUUGCUUUAUUCAUAGUAGCUGCGCAAAUGCUCUGGCAAUAAAUUUAUUAUUUAUUAUACAUAGAAAAUGUUUGCUAAUUUUGCAUUAGCAACGCAUUUAUUUGUUUCUUAGCACAUCAAAAUUGUUUACUUAUAGGAAGAUGAUUUAUGUAAACUAGCACAUAUGCCCGUGCGUUGCAACGGGAGAAAAAAUAAAUAUGCAUUUAAAGUUAGUGAGAAUUAAAUAUGCAAGCAAAACCCUGUGUGCACGUGAAAGAGGAACAUUUAGCUUCUCGGUUUCGCCGGACGUGAAGUAAUCAAUCCGCUAUUUUUCUAUUCGUUGAUCUAGGGCAUUUAAGAGUUUUGUUACGUCAUAGUACGCCAGAGAAGGCCUAUGAAUUAUUAAAUCUACUUUUCCUUUCAAUCGAGGAGAUUUUAAGGUAUGAAGUUUUUGAAUAUUGUAGGAAACGUGAACCAUUUAUAAAAGCCUGCACAGGUUUUUGAAAAAUAUGUACACUUUCAGAAAAACCCUAACCAAAUUUGAAACAGGAACAUCUUUUAAAAUUCACCAAAAUUUUAUGAAAUACCAAACUUUUUUUAAUAAAAACAUGAACAUUAUCUGAAUUUGUGAACAUUCUUUUGAAAGGGGAACAUGUGUUGAAAAUUCAUAACAUUUUCGAAAAUGUUAUCUUUUAUACGUGAACAUUAUUUUGAAUUAUGAAAUUUCACUAAACCAAGAAUAUUUUUUGAAUUUGGAGCAUUUUUUAAAAUGCCACUUUCUUUCUGAAAUCACGAAAAAAUUGAAAACAUUUUUUUUGAAAAAAUGGGAAGCUUUUUCAAGUUCUGGGUAUUUUUUAAAAUAGCAACAAAAUUUUGGAAUUCUGAACAUUUUCCAAAAUUUGAAUUUUUUUGGAAAUUCUGAACGUUUUUUGAGAAUUUUGAAUUUAUGAAAUAAAUUCUGUAAGAAAAAUAAACUUGGAAAGAAAAAAUAGAUAAGGAAGGAGAAUAAAAAUAGAAGUAGAACACAUAAAUAAAGAAAAAUGGGCCAACUCAUUAUUGGUUGUCAUGUGCGAAGCUUCGACUAUUUACCGACAUAUGCGGAAAAUAGAAUUUUCUCAGCUGCAUGUGCAGAAAAAUAAGUGGGCUGGUUUCGCUGGGCCACAGCGUGCGGCCCAUGCACGAAUUCUGGAAAAGGCUUCUUUUCUAGCAGACAAACACGUAAGAAUUUAGUACUGCCUCAGAUAGAAAAAAAAUUCUUCGGUGGUGAACGGAUGAAAAAAUUGGUGAAACGCACCUUGCUUUAUUAGUAGGAAUAGAUAUAGAUAUAGAUAUAGAGGUAUAGAUAGAUUAUGUGCUUUUGUACAAUGUACUAUAUGUAGAUCAUAUCUUGGCCUAUUACCAGACCAAUCAACCAAAUAUAGAUGCACUCUCCAUCACUCACUUUUUCCCAAGGGCUAAUAGGCUGAUUAGACAUUCCCAAUACCUUCCUUAUCUCCUCAUGAAUCCAAGGAAACAAACGAUGCCAACUUAUAAAUGUAGGUGUCAAUAUUAUUCUAUGCAUGUGCACACAAACAUUUCUUCAAUGAUACACUCGUCCACAGUAUCAUGUGUUCUUGAACUAGAGUGACUAAUACUACUUUUGUCUCGUUCAUUGGACCAAUUGUUUCAGACCAUAAUCUAGCCCGCCCAUCGAUCUCCAACCGACCACAAUGGCAAAAUGAGAAGAUAUGGAAGGCAUCUAGAUUCUUCAUCUUUGGUAGUGCAAUAGAUUUUGACAGAGUUUCGGGAAAAUCCACCACCAACAGAUGGUUUCCACCAAGUAAAACAUCAAGGCGGCUAGAUUAUGAGGAAAAAGAAGAUCACUAGAUCAGCAAGGGUGGAAGAUAAUAGGUAGAAUUUCUAGAUAUGUGAAAUACAUGUAUUUUCCAAAUAGAAUAUUCUAUACAUGUUAAUUUUUUAGAGUAAAUGGCAACAUAAAAGGUGGGCCUAGUUUCUAUCACAUACUAAUGCAUGUUGAUUCUAGAGUAGUAACAAUUUUGUGAGUUAAUAAAGACGCAUGUUUCUUAUUGAGAAGAUCCUAUAGUGGAUAAUGGCUAUACAUUACUAAUUUUUCAAAUUGCUUAUGGAUGGGAUCUUUAUUCACUCAUCUGAUAAUCCCACCGCUAUAGGCAAAUAUGCAUUGGUUGAUGUUCUCAGAUUCAGUUCUGCACUCAUAACACUGACUGGGUAGGAACAAAUGGAAAUAUUGCCAGAGACUGAAGGCGCAAUGGCCUAACACCACAACACUACAACACUCAAGAGAUCUCAUAAUUUUGGUGACUAUAAAUUAUAAACUAAAUCAACAAUUUAGCAAAAGCAUUAGACACAAACAUAAACUAUAAUUCAUCUUAUAGCUAAGAUAAAAAUAAAAACAAGUAUGAAACAAAAAUAUCACAUAACGAGGACAAUGGAAACACAACAGUGGGAGAAAUGACCCGGUAGGAAGGUAGGUUCCCAGGAUUUUUGUAAACCAUGAUGAGUAAAUGGACCGUUGUGAGUGACGACGUGAAAUCGUUGAAAUUAACCCUCGUUCAAUCACCCUGGAUAUAUUUAGAUUAGUGGGUGAAGGUUGGGUUAACAUAUGUAUAUCAAUUGUUUAUACUAAACAUUUUUACUUUUCAUACUUAUAUCUCAUUCUCUCAAAAUUUAAUCUUAACUGGUAUCAUUUUGUAUUAUAUUCAAUAAAAUUAACAUGUCAUAUGAAAGAUAAAAAUUAGGGUAUUAUAAUUCUAUUACAUAUGUAUUAUAGUUUUAUUACAUAAUUUCAAUGUUAAUGGUGAAAAAUGCACACCAAAGUUGAAGCCUAUAUCAUGAGAAAAUGCACACCAAAGCAAAGCCCCACAACCCUUAAUUAAAUAAAGAACUGUAUCUAAGUCAUAAGUACAACCAAAAACAGACCUACCUUAGCCUACCUAAAGUUACAUGAGGGUGUUAAUCCAAGCCAAGAGCUUCUGCUCGGUCCUAUCUCUAAGCCUAUGUGCAAGAAGAUUAAUGUCAAAAUAUCCCCAUAGAUUGCGCCACUCAGAUGACUAUCAAAUAUAUAUGUAUGUCUUGGUUAUUUUUGUUGUAAAUGUUUGUUAAGAGCUCUAAAGCUACCAGAGGUUUCUAGUGUGCAUGAUUGUCUAUUUUUUAUGCAAAUAAAUAGAAGUGAUAAUUAUCAAUGUAAUAAAUAGAAAACCCUAGAAUAUUAUCAAUAAGAAAUUUUUCCUUGAAUGGUUACCUUUCUCGUUUGUUGGCUCUUUUCUUGAAAAAGAUGGCUUUCAUAUUCCUGGAUUCAACAAGCACCAAGCAUCAAAUGCCCAAUUUUACGAUUGGUCUUGAAGUAGCAUUAGUGAGCUCAACUCGCAUGAAAUACAUAUACCCCCCCCCCCCUCCCUCUAAUAGUGAGGUGGAUAACCAACUAUAUUUGAGAAAAACUACAAGUUGCUCACUGGUCAUAUAAACCGCAAUUCCACAGCAUCACUCUAUCCCCAAUGGGGCACACUGUGAGGGAGAGGUCUUUCCCCUGAUUUUCUUCCCGUGAAGGAGAUAGACCUUUUUUUAUCCAAGAAUAUGUAGAUAGACUUAUAUGUGGUGGGGUUCGCGGGAUGGCAUUGGUGGGUAAUUUUGCUGGCUUUAAAGUAGAUCUAAUGGCUGUAAUUUUCCGAUGCACAAAAUUAAUGGCUAGACAUUUGAUGCAUACGAUUGGAUGGUCGAUAUUUCACCCGCAGUUCACGGACACAUCCAAAGUUAUUUUCAGUUUUUAGUUUCACAAAAAUUUCAGCACCAACCAAAAUUACCAAAAUUCAGUGAAUUUCAGUUAUUUUGAUUUGCGUUCAGCGAAAGACCGAAAUAUUAACUUGAAAUCAAACAAAUAUUUGAAUGUUUUUUAAAAUAAUUGAGAAAUAUUUGAGUACAUGUGUACUAUUGAAAUUGCUGGAAUAGUUUGGCUGAAAGGUAAAUAUUUCAGUGACUGCUGAAAUUAAUGAAAUUCAGUAAAUUUCAUUGAAAUCUCACUGGAAGUGAAAACCAUACUCUGCAUCCACUGCUCCAUAGCCAAGGAGAGCAUCGUGAGUCAAUCGUGAGGGAGAGGUCUUUCCCCUGAUUUUCUUCUCGAGAAGGAGAUAAACCAUCUUCUUUAUCGAAGAAUAUGGAGAUAGACUUAUGUAAUGGUGGGGUUCGGGAUGGCAUUGGUGGGUAAUUUCGCUGGCUUUAAAGUAGAUCUAAUGGCUGUAAUUUUCUGAUGCACAAAAUUAAUGGCUAGAUUAUUCUGAUUUUUGUUGGAUUUUGUAGCUUAUUUAUCUUUUUUCUAGUUUUCCCGCAAAAUACUUUUAUAUAUAAAUAAUAGAUGCUCUUGGAUUUCUAUUUUUUUAGUAGGUGCUUUAUGCACCUGGGCGGAGGGAUAUAUAUCGAUCUAGGCCAUACAAUUUGCAGCGGGUUGACAUCGAUCAUGGCCAUGGCCACUAGGGGCUUUGAAACGGCGGCGAGCAUGGCCUGCCAAAACGCCACCAGUAGUAGUUAGACUCUUGGUGUUUGCCAACAGAAAUAAAUUAGUUACAUCUCGCGGUGCGUCGUUUCCUGUCUCUCUCGCCUCCUCGAGUCCCCGCGCGACGUAAUUUACGCCGGCGAGUCGUACGCAUGCGUGCGUCUCCUCGUCGCUCGCGGCAGCAAGUAAAUUGUACGCGACGAUUGCUCGGGCGUCGGGCAGGAUGAUGAAUGCACAGCGACCAUCACCGUAUACGGUACUCCACUAUAUAAGAACAUCCAUGCGUGGUAUCGCAACUCCAUACCCACAGGACACAUCUCGGUAGCUGCUGCCUCCACUCACAAUGUCCUCUUCGUCCUCCGUGGGCAACAUCGCUCCCAACGACGGAUCGUCGUCGCCGCCUGCGUCGGCCAUCGUCGCGCAGGCCAUGUCCGGGUCGCACGUCGUCAAGAUAGACGGCUACUCCCGCACCAAGGGGCUUGGCAAUGGCAAAUACAUCAAGUCCGAGACUUUCACCAUCGGAUGCCAUCCCUGGUGUAUGCGCUACUACCCAGACGGCUGUGUGACUGAAGACGCAGAUUGGAUAUCCAUCUAUCUGCACUAUAGUACUGCUCCAACUAAUGCUGGUGAAGUCAAAGCAGAGUUCAAGAUUAGUUUGCUUGACCAUGACAGGCAACCAGUGGCAUUGUACAGCAGAUGCAGCCAAGGUUUUGGUUACCAGUCGAAAUUUCAAGAUUUCCCAUGGUUACCGCGUAUUUCCGUGCCCCUCGGUAAAUCCACAUACCGAGCAAAAAAUACCAUUAUUUUUGAAAAUUUUGAAUUUUAACGCUCGAUUUGUAGUAAAGUGCCUAGGAUCUAAUUAAUGCAAGGAGAGUUGAUUCUGACGUGUCCAUAGCAACCUAGUUCCUGUUUUGACAGGUCUUUGGUUUGAAUGUUCGUUCAUUCAUUUAUUUGAAUUCAAAAUUCAACUAUAAAAUUCGUUUGAAAUAUUCUCGGUAUUUCUCGGUAUUUUCCGGUAACCGUGGUAACCACGUUUAUCAGUCACCCUCGGUAAAAUUGCCUCAUUCGGUAACCAAAACCUUGGAUGCAGCAGCCAGCUACGCACAUUCUCCACGAAAGAUACAGGAUGGGGCUUUGGUCAAUUCAUCAAGAGAAAGGACUUGGAGGAAUCCCCUUACCUUAGGGAUGAUGUUUUCAGCAUCAGGUGCGAUGUCACCGUGUCAAAGGAGAUCUUCACUGAGCCAAUCCCACAGCACGUUGUGGUGCCACCGUCCAACAUGCACCAUCAUCUUGGACAACUACUCUUGGCCGGUGAGGCGGCCGAUGUUACUUUCGAGGUCGGCGAGGAGACAUUCGCUGCGCACAGGUGCAUACUCGCAGCUCGUUCACCGGUUUUCAAGGCGGAGCUCCUUGGCCCUAUGAAGGAGAAGACCGCAACUCGAGUGCUGAUCGACGACAUGGAAGCCAGGGUGUUCAAGGCGUUGCUCCAUUUCAUCUACACCGACUCGUUGCCCGCCAUGGACGAAGGCGGCGCGGCGGAGAUUGCUCAGCAUUUACUGGUGGCGGCUGACAGGUAUGAUAUGGAGAGGCUGAAGCUGAUCUGCGAGGGGAAGCUGUGCGAUCACAUCUGCAAAAGCACGGUGGCGACCACGCUGGCACUGGCUGAGCAGCACGGUUGCGGUGCUCUGAAGAAGGCAUGCUUCAAGUUCCUGAUGUCUCCGGGAAACCUGAAGGUGGUCAUGGAAUCUGAUGGAUAUGAGCACCUGAGGAGCAGUUGCCCGUCUGUUCUGGACGAACUAGUCGCAAAGCUUGCUCCAUGAUCUCUUGGAGUCUAAACUCACUAGACCUGGAUAUUUGUCAUGCUAUUUAUAUUUUCAGAAGUGAUGAUAUCCUAUCCUACUACUGGUAGUCUGUGAAGGACUGUUAAUUCUAUUAAAAUUAAGGUUGCUGACGUUGCUGCAUCUGUUUGAUUCAAACAGUCUUUUCUAGACAGCAACAAAACUUUAUAAAAAAAUGAAAUAUAAACAGAAAUUUGAAAACUGAGAGAGAAACUUCUGUUUAUUCUGAAGAAAUUAUUGCAGAGUUCUCAAAAUUACAGGAGGCAUUUAGAAAUUCUAAGGAAUGUCCUCAAAUUUAAUAAGUUAGCAGAUACUCCCUCCGUCCGGGUUUAUUAGGCCUAAAGACAACUUCUCUUAGACCAAGACACAUAGUAAUUUGCCCACAUUAAUUCUUCCAUUCCACUCCCAAUGCACUCUCUCACAUGCAUGCAGCCAAUAAAAAAGCACGCAUGAAGUGUAUUAAUUUCCUAGUCAUGGCACCAACAACAAUGGUUUUCAAUGCAACCAAUGAAAUGGUUGCAUGCAUGCACCUUUUCAAAGCGAGGCCUUAUAAAAAGGGACAUGCUUGUGAUGCUAAGACCUCUUCCAAUGCAAAGGUGCUUAGCUGAGGUGCUAAAUGCAUUAAAUACCUUAGCAACUCAACUCUCCAAUGCAUAGGUGUUUAGCUUGUUGUUGCUAAGCACACUUUAUUUAAUGAGUUAGCACCUAAAGUCUUUCAUGCAUUGGUCAAAUUGUUUCAUUUAAGUGGUUUGCCUAGGUUCUCGCGCUUGGCAUUGGUUCUUCCUGGGGUCAUCAAAGUGCUAUCUCUCCUCCUUCAAUGUUGUGCCAUGUCAUUUUUUUCGCUUAUUUGGCAUGCUUAGCACCUAUCCACCGUGGAGCACUGGGAAGGGCCUAAGAGGUCUAAUAAACCCGGACGGAGGGAGUAUUUACAGUCUAUUUUAAUCUUAAUUUCAGACUAGCGGUUGUAAUAACAUGGUGCAAUGGUGUUACAUUCAAAUGUGAAGUUAUCAGUCAUUGUUACAUAGUAGUCGUGGUCAAAAGUAUGUGUGCCAAAAAAUUAUUUAAAACAUCUUGCAUAUCCCAAGUGGGUACCGCUUGUGUAACACCCCGGGUGUCAUGCUUCAGUAAGCUCCUAUUAUUUGUGCCACGUCAUCGCAAUUGAUUUUCUAAACCUCACUUUAAUCCAAACCGAAUUCAAUUUCAAAUUUAAAAUAAAGUAAAAAUAAUAUUUAUUCAAACAGUAAAAUAAAAAUGUUCAUCGCAUUAGAAUUAAUCGAUGAGUAACUGUCUUGGUGAAACCAAUUUUUUAUAAAGUGUUUAGGUGCCUUAAAAUGAUUAAAACAGGGGCCAGUGCAAUAUUUUAAAUGCUUUUUAAAUGGUAAAAGUUACAAACUAAUUUAUGUAAGUGCCAAAGUUAUUAUGGCAGUGGCCUGUUAUAUAUCACAAAUUUUGGUGCAAGUUUUGUGUUUUAAAACUAAAAUAAUUUGAAAAGAAUCAGAAACAAAACAAAUAAAAGAAAAACAAAAUUUAAAAGGAAAGAAAAGAAAACCGCCCUGCCCCUGGGCCUUAGGCCACAGGGACGGGCCCAGGCCGGCCUAGCCUAACCCCACUCGGUCGCCUUCCAGAUCGCUACAGGGGAAGCCGACCGAGGCGCGCCCGUCGGUCGUCCCCGACCACCUCGCCGUUUCCGCCGGGGGAAGAUAAGGACGCCACCCCCUGCAGCCCCCUCGGCCUCAUUGCCUCCCCUCCACUUGCCUCUCCCACUUCUUCCCCACACUCGCUCCUCUUCCCGAUCUAGAGGAGACCGUUGUGGGUUUCCUGGCAGCGCGUUGAACUCGCUGCUCCUCUUUCCUUGCUUCCUGGCUGUAUCGAGGACUGUUGUAUUUCCGUUUAUCUUAAAUGGAAAGGGGCAUGCCUGGUAAAAAAAAAAGAGGAGACCGCCGCCACCGUCGCCAUGGCCGGCGUCUUCCUGCGCCCACCGACCACCCCUUGGCCUGGGACCGUGUCCAGGAGCCUGGCUGCGUCCCUGUGCUUCGUCUGCGCCGAAGAACGCGAGCUCCGCGCCACCGCAUCGACCGAAUCGACCUCAUCCUCCCCACGGCUGCCACCGGCGAUCUUCUUCGGAUCCGGCGACGCCUGCUGCUCCUAAUCUAUCGACGGGUCCUCGUGUGCCUACACGGUGAGCUCCUCUUCGGAAGCCCUCUCCUUACAUAUCGAACCGGUGCCGUAGCUACCAUCACCGCCUGCAGCCGACGUCGUUAUUCGCCGUGGCCGCUAGCUCGACCCUGUCGAGCUCGGCGAGCCCCGCGCGCCUCUGCCCGGUGCUCCCGUACGCCUAUGGCCGCCCCGCGCAUGCCCCCGGCCGCGCACCGCACGCGCGCCACACAUCCGCCCGCGUCCUGCCUCCUCGAGGCUGCGCCCUGCGCGCCACUCCAGCCGUGCCCGUCGGGGCCUGGCCACGCCCACCGGGGCCGCGCCCCUGCUCGUCUGCGCUGCUGCCUCUUCGCAGUCGCCCGCGCCUGUGCGCGCCUGGGCUCGCUCACGCCCGCCUGCUGCCUCGUCCGCUGUUGCCUACUGCUUGCCGCUGCUUGCUACUGCCUCCUGCUACGCUCCUGCUGCUUUGGCUGCUGCUCAUGCCGCCGCUACUGCUGCUCCCGGCUUCUAAUCCAUGUCGCUGCUGCUCCAAAUCACUACCGCUGUUGCUCUUGGCUACUGCUUGCUGCUGCUGCCGCCGUAGGCCAUGGCCGCUGUGCACUCCCGUGCAUGCGUGCCUAGCAUAUUCGGCCAACAUGCUAGUGUCCAGCAUGGCCGGCCCAGUUAGACUAGUCUAGGAAUAGUUAGGUUAAUUAAAUUUCUUGAUUAGUUUAAGUGUAGAUGACAUGUGGGUCCCUUUCAAUUAGAUUAGUUUUAUGUAUUUGUUUAGGUACAACCUAUGAAAUUUGGGCCACACCCUGCCCUUUUGACUAGUCAAAGUUGACUUGGUCAGCUCGGAUUAAAACAAAUUAAAAUAAAACCAGAAAUUUUAGAAAUUGAUUUAAAACUUUAGAAUUAACAGAAAAUAAACCGUAGCUCGGAUCGAAAAACUUUAUAUAUGAAAGUUGCUCAGAAUGACGAGACGAAUCCGAAUAUGCGGUCCGUUUACCUGUCAGAUGCCUCUAACUAUCCAAACAUGGAACAUUCCCCCUCCGGUCAUCUGUCUGACACAGGUCCGAAACCGGUAUUACAUUCCCGGAUGUUUUCCCUCUUCGUCUGUAUCACCUAGCACUGCGUUAGUUCACCCCUAACAUCGUGUUUUACCAUGUUAUGCAUUAUGAUGCUUUGUUUGCUUUAUAUUUAUUGUUUCUCCCCCCUCUUCUCUUCGGUAGACCCCGAGACCGAUGCUGCCCCUGUGAUCGACUACGUCGACGACGACACUUCUUCCUUUUCAGCAGAGCUUCCAGGCAAGCCCCCCCCUUUGAUCAUCCCGAUAUCGCCCAUUUCCUUUCUCUCAGGCUUGCAUUAGAUUUUGCUACUGUAAUUGUUUGCUCCUAUUCUGAUGCAUAGCCUGUUUUUGUAACCUGCUCAUUGUACCUUACCUACUUAUCCUAAACUGCUUAGUAUAGGUUGGUUAGUGAUCCAUCAGUGACCCCCACCUUGUCCCAGUUGCCCCUGCUUCAUCAUCGAAGACCCGAUCAACGGGAUCGAAGACCAGGCCCCGGCACCGCACAUCACUUUCCCCUUAUUUGCUCGACACUACUGGGUUACUAUCGAGUGCCGAGGGUGAGACCUCUUCAGCACUUCUGAUGUUAACGCUGUAGUGUAGCUAUUCGGUCGUGGUCAUCGAGGGUGAUUUCCUCCUUAACCACUUCCGAUACGACUCUGUCGUGCAACCCCUCAAGUGUGAAUCUUGGGGGUGGUUCCUCUUACGUUCACCUUGAUGAUUACAUCGAGUGGAAUUCACCGGGGGUGAUUCCUCGAGUUUUCCCCUUGAUGUUUGGACACACGGAUACUUGGACUUUACCACUGCUACUUGGAAAGGCGGGUCGACCCUGAGGGGUACCCGCGAGUGAUGUGGAGACGGGUUGACCUGGAGGGUGCCCGCGAGAUAAUUACGAGGUGUGGCCGGGCAUUCCUAGCCCUUGCCGUAAGUCCUCGAGACGGGGCAACGGGGUCACAUCUUUCGUGAGUCUCUGCUUGUUACCGCGUGCUCCUAAUCCACUACGAUUUGGAUAUUUGAUCCGAGGGGCCUCUGGCCUGAUUGCACUAACCAUCACGUGGGCAUAGUAUGGGCGUUCUGCGUCGUAUGCAUCAACCGAAGCUUAAUAGACGUUAGCGACUGAGCGGCGCGCGCCGGGUUGGACUGGUAAGCACCUGCCUUUUUAAAGGAGGUAGCUAGGUCUGCUCACCAGCCGCGUACGCAACGUGCAGGAGUUCCCGGGGAGAUUGCCCAUGACCCCUGGGGGCAUAGGUUUUGUCCGGCGUGCUGACCUCUCUAUUAAGCCUAGGUCGGGUUGCGGCGUAUUGUUUGGCCGAAGCCGGGCAUGACCCAGGAAAGUGUGUCCGGCCAAAGUUAAUCGAGCGUGGUGGGUAAGUUGGUGCACCCCUGCAGGGAAGAAAACAUCUAUCGAUAGCUUGUCCUACGGUAACAGACACUUGGAGUUGUAUCCCGAUCGAUACAACUAGAACUGGAUACUGGUGAUGAGAAAUGGAUUGUGAUGAUAACUGGAUAGUAUGGCUCUGGGAUUGCUUUCUCGCAGGGAGUCGAGAAAGGAUCUCUGGCCGAGGUUGAUAACACUACUACUACUUUACUUUAUGCUACUCUACUCCCUCCUGUUGCUGCAAGAUGGUGGUUUCCAGAAGAUGCUAGUCUUCGAUAGGACUACCUUCUCUCUAUUCUGGCAUUUCUGCAGCCCAGUCCACAUAUACAACCUUCCUUUGAUAAUGUUGCAUAUGUAGUGUAGAUCCUUGCUUGCGAGUAAUUUGGAUGAGUACUCACGGUUGCUUUCCUCCCCCUUUGCCCCUUUCUUCUUCUUUCCGGUUGAUGCAACCAGAUAUCGGAGCCCAGGGGCCAGAUGUCACCGCCAAUGCUUACUACUACGUGGAGACCGCCGACGACCAGGAGUAGUUAGGAGGCUCCCAGGCAGGAGGCCUUGCCUUUUCGAUCAAUGUUGCUUUUGUGCUGGCCUUCUUAAGGCAACUUGUCUAACUUAUGUCUGUACUCAGAUAUUGUUGCUUCCGCUGACUCUUGUGUUUUCGAGCUUAUGUAUUCGAUCCCUCGAGGCCCCUGGCUUGUAAUAUAAAGCUUGUAUUAUUUUAAUUUGUGUCUACAGUUGUGUUGUGAUAUCUUCCCAUGAGUCCUUGGUCUUGAUCGUACACAUUUGCGUGUAUGAUUAGUGUACGAUUGAAUCGAGGGCGUCACAAGUUGGUAUCAGAGCCGACUGCCUGUAGGUAGCCCCCCUUCCAACUCCUUGGCCGAAGUUGAGUCUAGUCAAUGAAAAACUUUUACUAGCUUGGUUGUGUGGCUUACGGGCCCACGUCGCCAUUGGGUGGUAUUAGGAUCUUUUAUUCCUCGUCUAUACUCUGGGACUCUGAUCUCUCGUCUAUUCGGGUUAAACGUUUUACUAAGUCUGACAUUAGGAUCUCGUACCCACUUUCUCCCGGAGAGCCCCUUCAGUCCAGAUGAUCGCUUGCUGCUUCAGAAGAUUUCGAAGAUACUCUCCGAUGUUUCCCCGAAACACUUGUGCCCUUCGCCGUUGCAAUUCCAUAUCACCGAUAAACCCCUCUGGAUAACUACAUACACCUGUCGUUCAUAUUGUCAUCCCAAGUUGAUCUUGUUAUUACAAGAUGCCUUGUAAUACUUUUAGGUAUUUCGAGAAUCCACUGUGCCUACUACGUUGCAGCUCCUUUUCCGCCUGAAUACAUGUACGAAUUAUUCCUCACAAUUAUCGAGGAUUCGUUCAUCCCCAAUUGUUUAGGUAUUUCACAAAAGUCUUUGAAAUACCAUUCGAUCUUCCGAAAAUCCUCAGCAGCCUAUUGUUGUUGAAAUUCUUGUUUGCUUGCAUUAUGGUUAAUUCCAUAUUUCUAGUAAUCUUCGUUGACAUCCUCUGUCACUAUCGUUUCGAGUCCCUUGAUCCAAUAUGUCGCGAAUGCUCGUAAUCCUCAAUCAGAUCCUAGCAUUCAUCCUUCCGGCUCAGACGUCACUCCAAACAUGAGCUUGUUCUUGUCAAAUCAAACAUUGAUUGAUUGUCGAUCUGUAUCGAUUCAACUCAAUUAUCUUUUGAUCAGAGCCUCUGCUUCAGAUCUUCUGAUUUGAAAAUCGUAAUUCCUUUGUAUUCAAGCUUUAAAGUUAUCCAGUUAUAUCUAUAACCCGAUUCCUUUGCAUUCUUUCUUCUUCUGGGUGAGUAUCGAUACUCACAUCAGAUCUUUUAUGAACCGCCAUAUCCUUGGUUGGAUUAUUAUCCGACAAUGUCCUUCAUAUUCAUUAAACUUGUGAGUUUUGCCCUGACAUAUAAUGCCUUUGGUAAAUUCUAUCAUCUGCUUUUGUCAACCAUGCUCUGCUUUCGAGCUGGUAUAUUUUAAUCCUGAAAUUAGUGGUAUAUGUUCCUAAGAUACCCCUAUGGGUUGAACCUAUGCCUUCCCUAAUCCGUGUGAACUCGAAAGAGAUGUGAUUCAUACUCUUCUGCUGCUUCACCAGAUAAAUCUUUCGCACUACUAAUUCUUUGAAAACGAGGAGUGAAUGAAAGGUUAUGCAUUGAAGAAGUGGGAGUCGACCUUGAACUUUGUCUUCAUGCCCAUGGACACGAUGUAGAUCCUAUCAUGGAAGCUUCUUGUAAUAAUAACUAUUUCCUUGAUAAAUAUCAUCUGGUAUCUGUGAAUUGAUCCUUUGCAACCGUGAUUCCGAUCAUGAUUGUUCUCCUUUGAUUCUAUUUCUCGGACAAGUUAAAGUACUUGCCUUCUGCAGAUCAGUACGCCGGCUGCUACCUCUUGAGCACUGCGUUGGUUUUCCCUUGAAGAGGAAAGGGUGAUGCAGCAAAGUAGCGUAAGUAUUUCCCUUAGUUUUUGAGAACCAAGGUAUCAAUCCAGUAGGAGGCCACGCACGAGUCCCUCGCACCUACACAAACAAAUAAAUCCUCGCAACCAACGCGAUAAGGGGUUGUCAAUCCCUACACGGUCACUUACGAGAGUGAGAUCUGAUAGAAAUGAUAGGAUAAUAUUUUUGGUAUUUUUAUGAUAAAGAUGAAAAGUAAAAUAAAAGGCAAUAAAAAUAACUAAGUGUUGGAAGAUUAAUAUGAUGGAAAAUAGACCCGGGGGCCAUAGGUUUCACUAGAGGCUUCUCUCGAGAGCAUAAGUUUUACAGUGGGUGAACAAAUUACUGUUGAGCAAUUGACAGAAUUGAGUAUAGUUAUGAGAAUAUCUAGGUAUGAUCAUGUGUAUAGGCAUCUUGUUCGAGACAAGUAGACCGACUCCUGCCUGCAUCUACUACUAUUACUCCACACAUCGACCACUAUCCAGCAUGUAUCUAGAGUAUUAAGUUCAUAAGAACAGAGUAACACUUUAAGCAAGAUGACAUGAUGUAGAGGGAUAAACUCAUGCAAUAUGGUAUAAACCCCAUCUUGUUAUCCUCGAUGGCAACAAUACAAUACGUGCCUUGCUGCCCCUACUGUCACUGGGAAAGGACACCGCAAGAUUGAACCCAAAGCUAAGCACUUCUCCCAUUGCAAGAAAGAUCAAUCUAGUAGGCCAAACCAAACUGAUAAUUCGAAGAGACUUGCAAAGAUAACCAAUCAUACAUAAAAGAAUUCAGAGAAGAUUCAAAUAUUGUUCAUAGAUAAACUUGAUCAUAAACCCACAAUCCAUCGGUCUCAACAAACACACCGCAAAAGAAGAUUACAUCGAAUAGAUCUCCACGAGAGAGGGGGAGAACAUUGUAUUGAGAUCCAAAGAGAGAGAAGAAGCCAUCUAGCUAAUAACUAUGGACCCGAAGGUCUGAGGUAAACUACUCACACUUCAUCGGAGAGGCUAUGGUGUUGAUGUAGAAGCCCUCCAUGAUCGAUGCCCCCUCCGGCAGAGCUCCGGAACAGGCCCCAAGAUGGGAUCUCACGGGUAUAGAAGGUUGCGCCGGUGGAAUUAGGUUUUGGGCUCCGUAUCUGGUAGUUUGGGGGUACGUAGGUAUAUAUAGGAGGAAGAAGUAUGUUGGUGGAGCAACGUGGGGCCCACGAGGGUGGAGGGCGCCUGGGAGGGUAGGCGCGCCCCCUACCUCGUGCCCUCCUGGUUGAUGUCUUGACGUAGGGUCCAAGUCCUCUGGAUCACGUUCGUUCCGAAAAUCACAUUCCCGAAGGUUUCAUUCCGUUUGGACUCCGUUUGAUAUUCUUUUUCUGCGAAACUCUGCAAUAGGCAAAAAAACAGCAAUUCUGGGCUGGGCCUCCGGUUAAUAGGUUAGUCCCAAAAAUAAUAUAAAAGUGUAUAAUAAAGCCCAUUAAUGUCCAAAACAGAAUAUAUUAUAGCAUGGAACAAUAAAAAAUUAUAGAUACGUUGGAGACGUAUCAAGCAUCCCCAAGCUUAAUUCAUGCUCGUCCUCGAGUAGGUAAAUGAUAAAAAACAGAAUUUUUGAUGUGGAGUGCUACUUGGCAUAAUUUCAAUGUAAUUCUUCUUAAUUGUGGUAUGAAUAUUCAGAUCCGAAAGAUUCAAGAUAAAAUUUUAAUAUUGACAUAAAAAUAAUAAUACUUCAAGCAUACUAACUAAGCAAUUAUGUCCUCUCAAAAUAACAUGGCCAAAGAAAGUUCAUCCCGAAAAAAUCAUAUAAUUUAGUCAUGCUCCAUUUUCAUCACACAAGAAUGCUCUCAUCAUGCACAACCCCAAUGACAAGCCAAGCAAUUGUUUCAUACUUUAGUAAUAUCAAACUUUUUUAACCUUUACGCAAUACAUGAGCGUGAGCCGUGGAUAUAGCACUAUGGGUGGAAUAGAAUAUAAUGAUGGGGGUUAUGUGGAGAAGACAAAAAGGGAAUAAGUCUCACAUCAACGAGGCUAAUCAAUGAGCUAUGGAGAUGCCCAUAGAUUGAUGUUAAUGCAAGGAGUAGGGAUUGCCAUGCAACGGAUGCACUAGAGCUAUAAAUAUAUGAAAGCUCAACAAAAGAAACUAAGUGGGUGUGCAUCCAACUUGCUUGCUCAUGAAGACCUAGGGCAUUUGAGGAAGCCCAUUGUUGGAAUAUACAAGCCAAGUUCUAUAAUGAAAAGUUCCCACUAGUAUAUGAAAGUGACAAAACAAGAGACUCUCUAUCAUGAAGAUUAUGGUGCUACUUUGAAGCACGAGUGUGGUAAAAAGGAUAGUAACAUUGUCCCUUCUCUCUUUUUCUCUCAUUUUUUGGGCCUUCUCUUUUUUUACCUCACUUGGGACAAUGCUCUAGAAAAUGAUGAUCAUCACAUUUCUAUUUAUUUACAACUCAAUGAUUACAACUCGAUACUAGAACAAAGUAUGACUCUAUAUGAAUGCCUCCGGCGGUGUACCGGGAUAUGCAAUGAACCAAGAGUGACAUGUAUGAAAGAAUUAUGAAUGGUGGCUUUGCCACAAAUACUAUGUCAACUACAUGAUCAUGCAAAGCAAUAUGACAAUGAUGAACGUGUCAUGAUAAACGGAACGGUGGAAAGUUGCAUGGCAAUAUAUCUCGGAAUGGCUAUGGAAAUGCCAUAAUAGGUAGGUAUGGUGGCUGUUUUGAGGAAGAUAUAAGGAGGUUUAUGUGUGAAAGAGCGUAUCAUAUCACGGGGUUUGGAUGCACCGGCGAAGUUCGCACCAAAUCUCAAUGUGAGAAAGGGCAAUGCACGGUACCGAAGAGGCUAGAAAUGAUGGAAAGGUGAGAGUGCGCAUAAUCCAUGGACUCAACAUUAGUCAUAAAGAACUCACAUACUUAUUGCAAAAAUCUACAAGCCAUCAAAAACCAAGCACUACGCGCAUGCUCCUAGGGGGAUAGAUUGGUAGGAAAAGACCAUCGCUCGUCCCCGACAGCCACUCAUAAGGAGGACAAUCAAAGAACACCUCAUGUUUCAAAUUUGUUACAUAACGUUUACCAUACGUGCAUGCUACGGGACUUGCAAACUUCAACACAAGUAUUUCUCUAAUUCACAACUACUCAACUAGCACAACUUUAAUAUCACUACCUCCAUAUCUCAAAACAAUCAUCAAGCAUCAAACUUCUCUUAGUAUUCAUCACACUCAUAAGAAAGUUUUUACUAGUCUUGAAUACCUAGCAUAUUAGGAUUAUUUAAGCAAAUUACCAUGCUAUUUAAGACUCUCAAAAUAAUAUAAGUGAAGUAUGAGAGAAUAAUAGUUUCUAUAAAACAAAAGUUACCACCGUGCUCUAAAAGAUAUAAGUGAAGUACUAGAGCAAAAACUAUAUAACUCAAAAGAUAUAAGUGAAGCACAUAGAGUAUUCUAAUAAUUUCUGAAUCAUGUGUGUCUCUCUCAAAAGGUGUGUACAGCAAGGAUGAUUGUGGUAAACUAAAAAGCAAAGACUCAAAUCAUACAAGACGCUCCAAGCAAAACACAUAUCAUGUGGUGAAUAAAAAUAUAGCUCCAAGUAAAGUUACCGAUGGAAGUAGACGAAAGAGGGGAUGCCUUCCGGGGCAUCCCCAAGCUUUGGCUUUUUGGUGUCCUUAGAUUAUCUUGGGGUGCCUUGGGCAUCCCAAAGCUUAGGCUCUUGCCACUCCUUGUUCCAUAAUCCAUCAAAUCUUUCACCCAAAACUUCAAAACUUCACAACACAAAACUUAACAGAAAAUCUUGUGAGCUCCGUUAGCGAAAGAAAACAAAACACCACUUCAAGUACUGUAAUGAACUCAUUCUUUAUUUAUAUUGGUGAUAAAGUUACUGUAUUCCAACUUCUCUAUGGUUUAUAAACUAUUUUACUAGCCAUAGAUUCAUCAAAAUAAGCAAACAACACACGAAAAACAGAAUCUGUCAAAAACAGAACAGUCUGUAGUAAUCUGUAACUAACGCAAACUUCUGGAACUCCAAAAAUUCAGCCAAAAUAGGACAACCUAGACAAUUUGUUUAUUGAUUAGAAGAAACUGGAAUCAAUAUUUUAUCACGUUCUGGUGAUUUUUAACAAUUAUUUUCGUGAACAGAAAGUUUCUGCAAUGUUCAGCAAGAUCAAAUAACUAUCAUCCAAGAAGAUCCUAUAGGUUUAACUUGGCACAAACACUAAUUAAAACAUAAAAACAAGUCUAACCAGAGGCUAGAUCAAACAUUUAUUCCUAAACAGAAUCAAAAAGCAAAAAACUAAAAAUAAAAUUGGGUUGCCUCCCAACAAGCUAUCGUUUAACGCCCCUAGCUAGGCAUAAAAACAAGGAUAGAUCUAGGUACUGCCAUCUUUGGUUGGCAAUUCUUUAAUGAGACAUCCAUCAUCCUUAGGAGUUUCUUUCUUUUUAUUAAUCAUCAAACUUCUAGGCACAUAACCAAAAAAUUCGUUUGUAGCAAAUGGUUCCUUAAUGAUAGCAAAAAGAUUGGGAUGAAUACUUAUAGAUUUGAGAUCCGCAGUUUCCUUGCUAGAGGAUUCACCCUUAUUUUUAGGAACAUACAUAAGCUUGGCAAUUUUAGUUGGAGGACUUGGAGUAUUUUUUACGGAAGAAAAAGCGGUUCCCAAGUUGCUAAUGAUACCCUCAAGUUUAUCGAUUCUAGUGGAAUCCUGAUUUAUUUUUUCAUUAACUAUGGGUUCCUUCUCCUUCAUAUUUUUCAAAGUGACUCCUACUUUGGAUCCAUAUUGGGUAAUUUGGUUGUGGAUCUUUUUAUCCAAAUUUUCAAUUAACUCUACGGUAGCAACUUUAUUUUCAAUAAUUUCAAGUCUUUGCAUUACAUGCUCCAAGUUAACAUAGUUCCAUUAACCAAAAGAGGAGGUGAGCCAAACAAAUCUAUCAUAGCAUUAUAAGAAUCAAAAGUAUGGCUACCCAAGAAAUUCCCUCCGGUGAUGGUAUCAAGGAUAUAUCUGUACCAAGGAGUAGCGCCUGCAUAAAAAUUGCGGAGAAGAACGGAAGUAGAUUGCUUCCUGGUAGAUCUAUUUUGAGCAUUGCAAAUUCUAUACCAAGCGUGUUUUAGAUUUUCUCCUUCCCUUUGCUUAAAAUUAAGAACUUCAUUUUCGGGAGACAACGAAGAAGAUAGGGGACUAGCCAUAAUGACUAAGCGAAAAAGAGGCGAACGGAAAAGAGAGGGCGAAUAAAAUGGCAAGGGUGAAGUGGGGGAGAGGAAAACGAGAGGCAAAUGACAAAUAAUGUAAUGCGGGAGAUAAGGGUUUGUGAUGGGUACUUCGUAUGUUGACUUUUGCAUAGACUCCCCGGCAACGGCGCUAGAAAUGGCUCGCUGCUGGGAGUCAAAUCUUGACUUGACCUUGCGUAAGCCUCCCCGGCAACGGCGCCAGAAAUCCUUCUUGCUACCUCUUGAGCACUGCGUUGGUUUUCCCUUGAAGAGGAAAGGGUAAUGCAGCAAAGUAGCGUAAGUAUUUCCCUCAGUUUUUGAGAACCAAGGUAUCAAUCCAGUAGGAGGCCACGCACGAGUCCCUCGCACCUACACAAACAAAUAAAUCCUCGCAACCAACGCGAUAAGGGGUUGUCAAUCCCUACACGGUCACUUACGAGAGUGAGAUCUGAUAGAAAUGAUAGGAUAAUAUUUUUGGUAUUUUUAUGAUAAAGAUGCAAAGUAAAAUAAAAGGCAAUAAAAAUAACUAAGUGUUGGAAGAUUAAUAUGAUGGAAAAUAGACCCGGGGGCCAUAGGUUUCACUAGAGGCUUCUCUCGAGAGCAUAAGUUUUACAGUGGGUGAACAAAUUACUGUUGAGCAGUUGACAAAAUUGAGCAUAGUUAUGAGAAUAUCUAGGUAUGAUCAUGUAUAUAGGCAUCACGUCCGAGACAAGUAGACCGACUCCUGCCUGCAUCUACUACUAUUACUCCACACAUCGACCGCUAUCCAGCAUGCAUCUAGAGUAUUAAGUUCAUAAGAACAGAGUAACGCUUUAAGCAAGAUGACAUGAUGUAGAGGGAUAAACUCAUGCAAUAUGAUAUAAACCCCGUCUUGUUAUCCUCCAUGGCAACAAUGCAAUACGUGCCUUGCUGCCCCUACUGUCACUGGGAAAGGACACCGCAAGAUUGAACCCAAAGCUAAGCACUUCUCCCAUUGCAAGAAAAAUCAAUCCAUUGAACCCAAAGCAAGAAAAAUCACCGGCCCAACCUCUAUUUUGUUCUACCUUCGAGUAUUACCCCCUGGUAUCUCGAGGAUAUCAACCCAUUGCACUUCAUCUUAUGAAUUUCUGGUGAAGUGGUUCCUUUCCCCGUCAUAGUCACUUCACGGGUUCUGGGUUGUCGUUAACCAAGAACACCGAUUUGUGAAUCGAAUCAACACUGAGGUUCAGUACUCCCAGUAUUUUGUUGUUGAGAAGUUUAAUACUCCAUCACGUCAUUCCUAGCCUGAUCGGCUAUAUUUUUAUAGUGUCAACUUUUAACUGUGCUACCUGGUCCUUAUGCCCGGAGAACUUUCGACGAUGAGCUAAGCUUACGUCGAUCUUCCUCAUCUUAUCAUUUCACCUCGAACAACAAGCUUGACUUCGAGCUUGUGUCGAAUCCCUGGUUCUCAUAGCCUUUCACUUCAUCCUUCCUUUUCUGCUCGAUGGCAUCUUCAUAGAGUCUCUCGACAAAAUCUGUCGUGAUCACCGUCUACACUUUGGCUUUUUCAAAGAUGUCAAUUGAAUUCAUGGCUAGAAAUGCCAUCCCUGCCCCUCGAUGAUUUGUGAUCUCAUCGAUGACAUCUUGACUUUCUGCCAAUACAGACCUGGUUGUGCUUGGUUAUUCCUUACGUUCUGAGAUAUCUUGGAAUUGUUUCUUGGUAUCUCUUGAGAUCUUCGAACCCAAUCUUUACUUGACACCAUAUCAUUGCCGCAUCGAAGCAUGACUGUGGUAUUCCGAAUAUCAACAAGAACAUUGAAGUGCAAUGCUAAAUGUUUCUUGAUCUAUUAUCCAAACACUGUUGUGUGGGUAAUAUCAUGAUUCUUCCCUCGCCCCUUUAUCUAAAUGCUUUUUGGUCUUGCUGGCCUAUCAUGUAUAUCGUGCUCCGCCUUUCCUUGGGGAGGAUAUACUUCCAAUUCUUGAGUGUAAACAAAUUUUCCUUUCCAUUGGGUGGUUAAUCUUUCUUUUGAUCUAUAUUAUAUAAGCAAAAAUAAUUCCUUGCUUAAAAAAAACACCUCGAGGUACAAUUUGUCAAUAAGACCUUGUUACUAUUGUUGAUGACAUUCCGGUAGCCGCCGACGGACGAGAACUUUGCAUAUUGGUCUGUCUCGUCUUAACGAGCAGGAAAAUGGUUCUCUUCGUCCCUCGCCCUUGGUACCAACGUUGUUGCCAACAUAACUGACAGGUUGUCCUCUGACCUACCUUGCUAUCAUGACCGUGAAAAAUGUUAGUGCCCUUCCUGCUUUCAACCCACAUGGUGGGCCCAUACCCACAGUUCUACAGGAUCGACACCUGACUCUCUUGUACAUCCUUGUUUUCCAAAAUUGUUCCUCGCGCUUGGCUUCGUAUGUAAAUCACGAGCCACAUACCUAGUGUUCUAUUCUGGUAUCAGACGCAAUACUUAUUCCCAUUGCUCUGAACCCCUUUUCACCCUCAGUUUCAGGCAAUGAACGGUUGCCUACCCGCUUGAAACUUCUUAUUGCACCUUCUUAACUUGCUCUCGAUGACUUUCUUGAAUUUCAACUAGCUAGAUGCCUCUAUGCCACGUUCACUAAGAUAGCCCCCUGGUACCUAUCUUGUGUUGGGCUCUUUCCUUCCCGAGUCUUUCCCCCUUACUCCACCCCUUAAAUCUCGGGACGAGAUUUCUUGUAGUGGAGGAGAUUUGUAACACCCCGGGUGUCAUGCUUCAGUAAACUCCUGUUAUUUGUGCCACGCCAUCGCAAUUGAUUUUCUAAACCUCACUUUAAUCCAAACCGAAUUCAAGUUCAAAUUUAAAAUAAAGUAAAAAUAAUAUUUAUUCAAACAGUAAAAUAAAAAUGUUCAUCGCAUUAGAAUUAAUCGAUGAGUAACUGUCUUGGUGAAACCAAUUUUUUAUAAAGUGCUUAGGUGCCUUAAAAUGAUUAAAACAGGGGCCAGUGCAAUAUUUUAAAUGCUUUUUAAAUGAUAAAAGUUACAAACUAAUUUAUUUAAGUGCCAAAGUUAUUAUGGCAGUGGCCUGUUAUAUAUCACAAAUUGUGGUGCAAGUUUUGUGUUUUAAAACUAAAAUAAUUUGAAAAGAAUCAGAAACAAAACAAAUAAAAGAAAAACAAAAUUUAAAAGGAAAGAAAAGAAACCCCCCUGCCCCUGGGCCUUAGGCCACAGGGACGGGCCCAGGCCGGCCCAGCCAACCCCACUCGGUCGCCUUCCAGAUCGCUACAGGGGAAGCCGACCGAGGCGCGCCCGUCGGUCGUCCCCGACCACCUCGCCGUUUCCGCCGGGGGAAGAUAAGGACGCCACCCCCUGCAGCCCCCUCGACCUCAUUGCCUCCCCUCCACUUGCCUCUCCCACUUCUUCCCCACACUCGCUCCUCUUCCCGAUCUAGAGGAGACCGUUGUGGGUUUCCUGGCAGCGCGUUGAACUCGCUGCUCCUCUUUCCUUGCUUCCUGGCUGUAUCGAAGACUGUUGUAUUUCCGUUUAUCUUAAAUGGAAAGGGGCAUGCCUGGUAAAAAAAAAGAGGAGACCGCCGCCACCGUCGCCAUGGCCGGCGUCUUCCUGCGCCCACCGACCACCCCUUGGCCUGGGACCGUGUCCAGGAGCCUGGCUGCGUCCCUGUGCUUCGUCUGCGCCGAAGAACGCGAGCUCCGCGCCACCGCAUCGACCGAAUCGACCUCAUCCUCCCCACGGCUGCCACCGGCGAUCUUCUUCGGAUCCGGCGACGCCUGCUGCUCCUAAUCUAUCGACGGGUCCUCGUGUGCCUACACGGUGAGCUCCUCUUCGGAAGCCCUCUCCUUACAUAUCGAACCGGUGCCGUAGCUACCAUCACCGCCUGCAGCCGACGUCGUUAUUCGCCGUGGCCGCUAGCUCGACCCUGUCGAGCUCGGCGAGCCCCGCGCGCCUCUGCCCGGUGCUCCUGUACGCCUAUGGCCGCCCCGCGCAUGCCCCCGGCCGCGCACCGCACGCGCGCCACACAUCCGCCCGCGUCCUGCCUCCUCGAGGCUGCGCCCUGCGCGCCACUCCAGCCGUGCCCGUCGGGGCCUGGCCACGCCCACCGGGGCCGCGCCCCUGCUCGUCUGCGCUGCUGCCUCUUCGCAGUCGCCCGCGCCUGUGCGCGCCUGGGCUCGCUCACGCCCGCCUGCUGCCUCGUCCGCUGUUGCCUACUGCUUGCCGCUGCUUGCUACUGCCUCCUGCUACGCUCCUGCUGCUUUGGCUGCUGCUCAUGCCGCCGCUACUGCUGCUCCCGGCUUCUAAUCCAUGUCGCUGCUGCUCCAAAUCACUACCGCUGUUGCUCUUGGCUACUGCUUGCUGCUGCUGCCGCCGUAGGCCAUGGCCGCUGUGCACUCCCGUGCAUGCGUGCCUAGCAUAUUCGGCCAACAUGCUAGUGUCCAGCAUGGCCGGCCCAGUUAGACUAGUCUAGGAAUAGUUAGGUUAAUUAAAUUUCUUGAUUAGUUUAAGUGUAGAUGACAUGUGGGUCCCUUUCAAUUAGAUUAGUUUUAUGUAUUUGUUUAGGUACAACCUAUGAAAUUUGGGCCACACCCUGCCCUUUUGACUAGUCAAAGUUGACUUGGUCAGCUCGGAUUAAAACAAAUUAAAAUAAAACCAGAAAUUUUAGAAAUUGAUUUAAAACUUUAGAAUUAACAGAAAAUAAACCGUAGCUCGGAUCGAAAAACUUUAUAUAUGAAAGUUGCUCAGAAUGACGAGACGAAUCCGAAUAUGCGGUCCGUUUACCUGUCAGAUGCCUCUAACUAUCCAAACAUGGAACAUUCCCCCUCCGGUCAUCUGUCUGACACAGGUCCGAAACCGGUAUUACAUUCCCGGAUGUUUUCCCUCUUCGUCUGUAUCACCUAGCACUGCGUUAGUUCACCCCUAACAUCGUGUUUUACCAUGUUAUGCAUUAUGAUGCUUUGUUUGCUUUAUAUUUAUUGUUUCUCCCCCCUCUUCUCUUCGGUAGACCCCGAGACCGAUGCUGCCCCUGUGAUCGACUACGUCGACGACGACACUUCUUCCUUUUCAGCAGAGCUUCCAGGCAAGCCCCCCCCCUUUGAUCAUCCCGAUAUCGCCCAUUUCCUUUCUCUCAGGCUUGCAUUAGAUUUUGCUACUGUAAUUGUUUGCUCCUAUUCUGAUGCAUAGCCUGUUUUUGUAACCUGCUCAUUGUACCUUACCUACUUAUCCUAAACUGCUUAGUAUAGGUUGGUUAGUGAUCCAUCAGUGACCCCCACCUUGUCCCAGUUGCCCCUGCUUCAUCAUCGAAGACCCGAUCAACGGGAUCGAAGACCAGGCCCCGGCACCGCACAUCACUUUCCCCUUAUUUGCUCGACACUACUGGGUUACUAUCGAGUGCCGAGGGUGAGACCUCUUCAGCACUUCUGAUGUUAACGCUGUAGUGUAGCUAUUCGGUCGUGGUCAUCGAGGGUGAUUUCCUCCUUAACCACUUCCGAUACGACUCUGUCGUGCAACCCCUCAAGUGUGAAUCUUGGGGGUGGUUCCUCUUACGUUCACCUUGAUGAUUACAUCGAGUGGAAUUCACCGGGGGUGAUUCCUCGAGUUUUCCCCUUGAUGUUUGGACACACGGAUACUUGGACUUUACCACUGCUACUUGGAAAGGCGGGUCGACCCUGAGGGGUACCCGCGAGUGAUGUGGAGACGGGUUGACCUGGAGGGUGCCCGCGAGAUAAUUACGAGGUGUGGCCGGGCAUUCCUAGCCCUUGCCGUAAGUCCUCGAGACGGGGCAAUGGGGUCACAUCUUUCGUGAGUCUCUGCUUGUUACCGCGUGCUCCUAAUCCACUACGAUUUGGAUAUUUGAUCCGAGGGGCCUCUGGCCUGAUUGCACUAACCAUCACGUGGGCAUAGUAUGGGCGUUCUGCGUCGUAUGCAUCAACCGAAGCUUAAUAGACGUCAGCGACUGAGCGGCGCGCGCCGGGUUGGACUGGUAAGCACCUGCCUUUUUAAAGGAGGUAGCUAGGUCUGCUCACCAGCCGCGUACGCAACGUGCAGGAGUUCCCGAGGAGAUUGCCCAUGACCCCUGGGGGCAUAGGUUUUGUCCGGCGUGCUGACCUCUCUAUUAAGCCUAGGUCGGGUUGCGGCGUAUUGUUUGGCCGAAGCCGGGCAUGACCCAGGAAAGUGUGUCCGGCCAAAGUUAAUCGAGCGUGGUGGGUAAGUUGGUGCACCCCUGCAGGGAAGAAAACAUCUAUCGAUAGCUUGUCCUACGGUAACAGACACUUGGAGUUGUAUCCCGAUCGAUACAACUAGAACUGGAUACUGGUGAUGAGAAAUGGAUUGUGAUGAUAACUGGAUAGUAUGGCUCUGGGAUUGCUUUCUCGCAGGGAGUCGAGAAAGGAUCUCUGGCCGAGGUUGAUAACACUACUACUACUUUACUUUAUGCUACUCUACUCCCUCCUGUUGCUGCAAGAUGGUGGUUUCCAGAAGAUGCUAGUCUUCGAUAGGACUACCUUCUCUCUAUUCUGGCAUUUCUGCAGCCCAGUCCACAUAUACAACCUUCCUUUGAUAAUGUUGCAUAUGUAGUGUAGAUCCUUGCUUGCGAGUACUUUGGAUGAGUACUCACCGAAGGGCGCUCACACCAGUUUAUAAGCCCGUCCCUCUCUGCAUUGUUGAGCUCCUCUUAAAGUGCAAAUAGAUGCCCUUAUACAGGGACUUUGACCUAAAUUCACAGUAAAUUUCAUAGAAAUUUAUUAUGAAUUUAGGUUGAAUUUCCUCUAUAAGCGCAUCUAUGUUCAUUUUUUUAUAUUUAUAAAAUAAAUAAACCUUAAUAAAAUAAAUAAAAAUAAGUAAACCUUAAUAAAAUAAAAUAAAAAUAAACUAUAGUAACUAAAAUAAAUAAACCUUAAUAAAUUAAGUAAAAAUAGCAGCAGUAAAAUAAAUAAAAAUAAAAUAAUUAAAAUAAAAUACAUAAGUAAUUAGAAAUAAAAUAAAUAAGUUUUUUGUUGUAAGUAGAAACAAAACAAAACAAGUAAAGCAAAAGAGAAAAAAACAGAGGAAAAAAAUAUGCCACCUACUGGGCCACCACGGCCUGAAUACGACUAGAAACCCAUCCAUGGGCCAGGAUUCAGGCCCGCAGAAGGCCCAGUNNNNNNNNNNNNNNNNNNNNNNNNNNNNNNNNNNNNNNNNNNNNNNNNNNNNNNNNNNNNNNNNNNNNNNNNNNNNNNNNNNNNNNNNNNNNNNNNNNNNNNNNNNNNNNNNNNNNNNNNNNNNNNNNNNNNNNNNNNNNNNNNNNNNNNNNNNNNNNNNNNNNNNNNNNNNNNNNNNNNNNNNNNNNNNNNNNNNNNNNNNNNNNNNNNNNNNNNNNNNNNNNNNNNNNNNNNNNNNNNNNNNNNNNNNNNNNNNNNNNNNNNNNNNNNNNNNNNNNNNNNNNNNNNNNNNNNNNNNNNNNNNNNNNNNNNNNNNNNNNNNNNNNNNNNNNNNNNNNNNNNNNNNNNNNNNNNNNNNNNNNNNNNNNNNNNNNNNNNNNNNNNNNNNNNNNNNNNNNNNNNNNNNNNNNNNNNNNNNNNNNNNNNNNNNNNNNNNNNNNNNNNNNNNNNNNNNNNNNNNNNNNNNNNNNNNNNNNNNNNNNNNNNNNNNNNNNNNNNNNNNNNNNNNNNNNNNNNNNNNNNNNNNNNNNNNNNNNNNNNNNNNNNNNNNNNNNNNNNNNNNNNNNNNNNNNNNNNNNNNNNNNNNNNNNNNNNNNNNNNNNNNNNNNNNNNNNNNNNNNNNNNNNNNNNNNNNNNNNNNNNNNNNNNNNNNNNNNNNNNNNNNNNNNNNNNNNNNNNNNNNNNNNNNNNNNNNNNNNNNNNNNNNNNNNNNNNNNNNNNNNNNNNNNNNNNNNNNNNNNNNNNNNNNNNNNNNNNNNNNNNNNNNNNNNNNNNNNNNNNNNNNNNNNNNNNNNNNNNNNNGGUUGGUGCCACGAACCGGGACCAAAGAGUUCCCUAUAUAUACCCCAUCGCCACAGCAGAGCACUCCACAGUGCUCUGUAUUUUCUGGCCGACGAGGGAAGGGCAUUUGGGUGCUCUAGCUCACCUCCUAUGCACAUGAGGUGCUCGAUGAAAUGUCUGAGCCACACUAGUUAAUCUUUCUCCUCUCGAAACUCGACCUCCGAGCUCCAUUUUCCCCGAGAUUUGUCUAGGUUUAGCAGUCCGUCACGUCCCGUCCCCGUCUUCACCGCCGUCGAUCGCCCGCGCCGAUCUCGUCGCCAGCACCAUCGUGGUGAGCCUCUUGUUCUUAUCUUCUUUCUGGAAGGAAAAAAUUCUUACUUUAGAUAGUUACUUGUCUAAUUUUGUUACUUUUAUUAUUCCUUCUUAUUACAUAGUGCGAUGGUUUUGGUAUCCGCCCCCGUCGGCCCUCGUCCUGUCUAUGAUUCGAAUGUGGUAUAUAUUAUCUUUUUAUAACUAUUUGGUUCAUUUAUUGUUUAUGACAAAUAUACCGACCAACGUGACAUAGAUUUUAUUUAUGUAGGAGGUGGUUGAACCAGAAAUUCUAACCGACCCUAUUGUCGAGAGGUUAAAUUUAGUUGAAGAAGAAAAUAAUUAAUUGAAGGAAAAAAUAAAAAAAAUUGAGGAGGAGAAGAUGAUAUUGGAGUUGCAUGUUGCGGAUGUCGUCGAUGAUCACAAGAUCAAGAUGGAUGCAAUGCGCUUGAAGAUUAGAAAGAUUAGAAAAUAUGCCAUUCAUACCGAGGCUUGGUAUCAUUAUGCCGUUGGAUCAAUUGUUACCUUGGUUGCGAUUAUGAUCGCAUUUGUUUUCGCAUUGCAAUGUUUUACAUAGUUUCAAUGUAUGGUUUAAUUAAUUAGAUGCUCUGGAGAGCUAUAUAUAUGUUGUUAGAUGAGAACUAUGUAUGUACUUUCGUUUUAAUGUGAUGAUGAACUUCUAUUAAUUUGGUCACUUAAUUAUCUAUUCAUGAUGUUCUGUAAUGGUUUUUGACACACUUAAUUAUAUAUAAUGCACGUAGAUGAACCGGCAAUGGAUGUACGGUGACAGACACACCUCCGAGUACAUUAAGGGCGUGCAUGAUUUUCUCGAAGUGGCUGAGGCAAACAAGCAGAAUGGUUUUAUGUGUUGACCAUGCCCUAUAUGUGGGAAUACGAAGUCUUACUCUGACCGGAAAAUCCUUCACACCCACCUGCUUUACAAGGGUUUCAUGCCACACUAUAAUGUUUGGACGAGGCACGGAGAAAUAGGGGUUAUGAUGGAAGACGGCGAAGAAGAAGAGGACGAUGACAACUAUGUGCCCCUGAAUACGGUGAUGCUGCAACAGGGGAAGCUGCUGAAGAUCAAGAGGAACCAGACGAUGUGCCCAAUGAUGCUGCAAGGGGGGAAGAUGCUGAAGAUCAAGAGGAACCAGUGCCCGAUGAUGAUGAUCUCCGCCGGGUCAUAAUCGAUGCAAGGACGCAAUGCGAAAGUCAAAAGGAGAAGCUGAAGUUCGAUCGCAUGUUAGAGGAUCACAAAAAAGGGUUGUACCCCAAUUGCGAAGAUGGCAACACAAAGCUCGAUACCGUACUGGAAUUGCUGCAGUGGAAGGCAGAGAAUGCUGUGCCUGACAAAGGAUUUGAGAAGCUAUUGAAAAUAUUGAAGAAGAAGCUUCCAAGGGAUAACGAAUUGCCCAACAGUACAUACGCAACAAAGAAGGUCGUAUGCCCUCUAGGAUUGGAGGUGCAGAAGAUACAUGCAUGCCCUAAUGACUGCAUCCUCUAUCGCGGUGCGUACAAGGAUCUGAACGCAUGCCCGGUAUGCGGUGCAUUGCGGUAUAAGAUCAGACGAGAUGACCCUGGUGAUGUUGACGGCGAGCCCCCCAGGAAGAGGGUUCCUGCGAAGGUGAUGUGGUAUGCUCCUAUAAUACCACGGUUGAAACGUCUGUUCAGAAACGAAGAGCAUGCCAAGUUGAUGCGAUGGCACAGUGAGGACCGUAAGAAAGACGGGAAGUUGAGAGCACCCGCUGACGGGUCGCAGUGGGGAAAAAUCGAGAGAAAGUACUGGGCUGAGUUUGCAGCUGACCCAAGGAACGUAUGGUUUGGUUUAAGCGCGGAUGGCAUUAAUCCUUUCGGGGAGCAGAGCAGCAAUCACAGCACCUGGCCCGUGACUCUAUGUAUGUAUAACCUUCCUCCUUGGAUGUGCAUGAAGCAGAAGUUCAUUAUGAUGCCAGUUCUCAUCCAAGGCCCUAAGCAACCCGGCAACGACAUUGAUGUGUACCUAAGGCCAUUAGUUGAAGAACUUUUACAACUGUGGAAUGGAAACGGUGUACGUACGUGGGAUGAGCACAAACAAGAGGAAUUUAACCUGCACGCGUUGCUGUUUGUAACCAUCAACGAUUGGCCCGCUCUCAGUAACCUUUCAGGACAGACAAACAAGGGAUACCACGCAUGCACGCACUGUUUAGAUGACACUGAAAGUAUAUACCUGGACAAAAGCAGGAAGAAUGUGUACCUGGGCCAUCGUAGAUUUCUUCCGACCAACCAUCAAUGUCGAAAGAAAGGCAAGCAUUUCAAAGGCGAGGCAGAUCACCGGAAGAAGCCCGCCAUGCGUACCGGUGAUCACGUACUUGCUAUGGUCAAUGAUUUACACGUAAUCUUUGGAAAGGGUCCCGGCGGACUAGCUGUUCCGAAUGACGCUGAGGGACACGCACCCAUGUGGAAGAAGAAAUCUAUAUUUUGGGACCUACCCUACUGGAAAGAGCUAGAGGUCCGCUCUUCAAUCGACGUGAUGCACGUGACGAAGAACCUUUGCGUGAACCUGCUAGGCUUCUUGGGCGUGUAUGGGAAGACAAAAGAUACACCUGAGGCACAGGAGGACCUGCAACGUUUGCACGAAAAAGACGGCAUGCCUCCGAAGCAGUAUGAAGGUCCUGCGAGCUACGCUUUUACGAAAGAAGAGAAAGAAAUCUUCUUUGAAUGCCUGCUCAGUAUGAAGGUCCCGACUGGCUUCUCGUCGAACAUAAAGGGAAUAAUAAAUAUGCCAGAGAAAAAGUUCCAGAACCUAAAGUCUCAUGACUGCCACGUGAUUAUGACGCAACUGCUUCCGGUUGCAUUGAGGGGGCUUCUACCGGAAAACGUCCGAUUAGCCAUUGUGAAGCUAUGUGCAUUCCUCAAUGCAAUCUCUCAGAAGGUGAUCGAUCCAGAAAUCAUACCAAGGCUAAGGAGUGAUGUGGCGCAAUGUCUUGUCAGUUUCGAGCUGGUGUUCCCACCAUCCUUCUUCAAUAUCAUGACGCACGUCCUAGUUCAUCUAGUCGACGAGAUUGUCAUUCUGGGGCCCGUAUUUCUACACAAUAUGUUCCCCUUUGAGAGGUUCAUGGGAGUCCUAAAGAAAUAUGUCCGUAACCGCGCUAGGCCAGAAGGAAGCAUCUCCAUGGGCCAUCAAACAGAGGAUGUCAUUGGGUUUUGUGUUGACUUCAUUCCUGGCCUUAAGAAGAUAGGUCUCCCUAAAUCGCGAUAUGAGGGGAGACUGACUGGAAAAGGCAUGCUUGGAGGGGACUCAAUAAUAUGCAGGGACGGCUAUUCUUGGUCUCAAGCACACUACACAGUUCUACAGAACUCUACCUUGGUGACCCCGUAUGUCGAUGAACACAAGAACAGUCUGCGCUCCAAACACCCGGAGCAGUGUGACGACUGGAUUACAUGUGAACACAUCAGGACUUUCAGCAGUUGGUUGGAAACACGUCUCAGAGGUGACACCACUGUUUGUGAUGAGUUGUACUCGUUGUCCAGGGGACCAUCUUCGACUGUAUUGACUUACAAAGGAUACGAGAUAAAUGGGAAUACAUUUUACACGAUCGUCCAAGAUCAAAAGAGCACCAACCAAAACAGCGGUGUCCGCUUUGAUGCAGCAACCGAGAGGGGAAAGGACACAUAUUAUGGUUACAUAAUGGACAUAUGGGAACUUGACUACGGACAUGAUUUUAAGGUCCCUUUGUUUAAGUGCAAAUGGGUCAAUCUGUCAGGAGGCGGGGUACAGGUAGACCCACAGUACGGAAUGACAACAGUGGAUCUGAACAAUCUUGGGUACACUGACGAACCAUUCGUCCUAGCCAAUGAUGUGGCACAGGUUAUCUAUGUGAAGGACAUGUCUACCAGACCGAGGAAAAGAAAAGAUAAGGAAGCGAAUACAUCAUACGAUGAGCCAAAGCACCACAUAGUUCUUUCAGGAAAAAGGGACAUUGUGGGAGUGGAGGGAAAGACAGACAUGUCUGAAGAUUAUGAAAAGUUUCAUGAAAUUCCUCCCUUCAAAGUCAAGGCUGACCCAAGCAUCCUGAUAAACGAUGAAGAUUAUCCAUGGUUACGGCGCAAUAAGCAAAUGACACAAGCGAAGGAAAAGUGAAGACUUUCUCCCGCAACUAUUAUGAUGAUACCAUGCCAACUUUGUAAUAGACGAGUAUGAUACCAUUGUCCGUUUCGUACAAGAAGUGCAUCUAGUUUUUGCCGUAACCCUCUCAACUUUCUUGCACAUGCUAUGUGGAUGAAAUGAUGAUACCAUGCCAACUUUCAACCUUUUCAGAGUUCAUUUGAAAUGCUUUUCAAUUUUAGGGUCUUAUAGCUCAAAAUAAUUAGUAAAUGCAUGAAAAAUAACAGGCCAAAAAUUAAAAAUUAUGCCACCUACUGGGCCACCACGGCUUGAAUACGAUUAAAAACCCAUCCAUGGGCCAGGAUUCAGGCCCGCAGAAGGCCCAGUAGGCCCACAGGCAUGUACAGAGAGGUUAGGCCCGUAAGCCUGCUUUAGAGAGGAGCUCGACAGCUUAGGCGCACCGCACCUUAUAAACAGGUGCGGCUCUCUCUCAGCUAGCGAGGUGGGACUAAACUCACCACCACGCCGCUGUGCAAGGCCAUUGGUCCGGGUUGGUGGCACGAACCGGGACCAAUUCCACCCUUUGGUCCCUGUUGGUGCCACGAACCGGUACUAAUGAGGCUGUGGCCCCACGAGCACCUUUAGUACCGGUUCGUGGGACGAACCGGUACUAGAGUUUCUUACUAAGCAGUUUUUUUGUCCCACCUCGCUAGCUGAGAGGCACUAGGAGCGGUUUAUAAGCCCUGAGUGCAGAGACGAUGAAGAAGAGGCGCAAUGCUCACGUUGCUUAGCUUCAAGCCUUGAGGAAUAAGGUAGACUGCAUGGAGCUAUGUGCAGUGCAGUCUACACUAUUCCGAAAGGCUUGAAGCAAAUCAACGAGCAUUGCGCCUCUUUUUUAUUUUUAAUAACUUAUUACAACUCCGGACUUCUUGUGUUCCGACAAAAUAAAAUAAACUUUAAUAAAAUUUAUGAAACUAAAAUUAACAAAGUAUUUUCUGUUCAAAACAUUAUAAGAAACCUCUAUUAUUAUUGAAACUAAAAUCAUAUAAAAUUGAUGCAACUAAAAUUAUCGAAGUAUUUUCUGUUCAAAAUCAUUAAAAGCAAAAAGAAUUUUCAUAAAGAACUUUUUUUGAUAGAAACUUUAAUAGCAAANNNNNNNNNNNNNNNNNNNNNNNNNNNNNNNNNNNNNNNNNNNNNNNNNNNNNNNNNNNNNNNNNNNNNNNNNNNNNNNNNNNNNNNNNNNNNNNNNNNNNNNNNNNNNNNNNNNNNNNNNNNNNNNNNNNNNNNNNNNNNNNNNNNNNNNNNNNNNNNNNNNNNNNNNNNNNNNNNNNNNNNNNNNNNNNNNNNNNNNNNNNNNNNNNNNNNNNNNNNNNNNNNNNNNNNNNNNNNNNNNNNNNNNNNNNNNNNNNNNNNNNNNNNNNNNNNNNNNNNNNNNNNNNNNNNNNNNNNNNNNNNNNNNNNNNNNNNNNNNNNNNNNNNNNNNNNNNNNNNNNNNNNNNNNNNNNNNNNNNNNNNNNNNNNNNNNNNNNNNNNNNNNNNNNNNNNNNNNNNNNNNNNNNNNNNNNNNNNNNNNNNNNNNNNNNNNNNNNNNNNNNNNNNNNNNNNNNNNNNNNNNNNNNNNNNNNNNNNNNNNNNNNNNNNNNNNNNNNNNNNNNNNNNNNNNNNNNNNNNNNNNNNNNNNNNNNNNNNNNNNNNNNNNNNNNNNNNNNNNNNNNNNNNNNNNNNNNNNNNNNNNNNNNNNNNNNNNNNNNNNNNNNNNNNNNNNNNNNNNNNNNNNNNNNNNNNNNNNNNNNNNNNNNNNNNNNNNNNNNNNNNNNNNNNNNNNNNNNNNNNNNNNNNNNNNNNNNNNNNNNNNNNNNNNNNNNNNNNNNNNNNNNNNNNNNNNNNNNNNNNNNNNNNNNNNNNNNCCGGGACCAAAGGUCCCUUUUCAGCAGCGCAAAGGGCGGGAAGCGGCGGCCUUUGGUCCCGGUUGGUGGCACCAACCGGGACUAAAGGGUGGCAUUGGUCCCGGUUGGUGCCACGAACCGGGACCAAUGCCCUUGCUAUAUAACCAGGACUUGUGAAAAUUUCACAUCUCCCUCGCCUCCCUAGCCAGUUGCCCCCGCCGCCAGGCUGCCCAAAUCGCUCGCGCGCUCCUCAUCGCCGUCGCCGCCGCCAGCCGCCAUCCCUGUCUCCCAGUGCCCCUGCCCCGCGCUCGAGCCCACGCCGGCCGCCGCCCCGUGCCCCUGCCCCGUCCCCGAGCACGCACGGCCGCACCCCUGCGCCUCGGCCCGCCCCCACCAUUGUCGUCGUCGCCGGCACCCACCCCCACUGCCGCCCAUGCCUCGACGCCGCCCCUCCUCCCCGUUCGGUCCGGCUCCGGCGACCCCCUUUCCUCCCUGUCCCCUCGAUCCUCUUCAUAUAAUUUUUUGUAUGAUUUUUUUCAUAUGCAUAUGUUGAUUAUAUGGAUGGAUGGAUGAUGUAUAUGUUCAUUAUAUGGAUGGAUGGAUGAUGUAUGCUUUUUUUCAUAUAAUUUUUUAGGCAGAUUUUUAGAAUUUUUUGUGUAUGUAUGUUAUGUUUAUAUGUAUGUAUGUAUGUAUGUUUAUAUGCAAAGAAAAUGUAUGAAUGGUCAUAUGCAAAGAAAAAUAUAUGUAUGGUCAUAUGCAAAGAAAAUGUAUGUAUAUAUGUUCAUAUGAAAGAAAAAUGUAUGUAUGUAUGUUCAUAUGCAUAUGCAAAGAAAAUGUAUGUUCAUAUGCAUAUGCAAAUAAAAUGUAUGUUCAUAUAUAUGAUGAUAUGUUCAUGUAUGAGUAUAUGUAUGUAUAUAUGUUCUCUGUGUAUAUAUAUGUUCAUGUAUAUAUGCAAAAGAUAGAUUUUUAGAAAAGUUAGGAUUUUUUUCUGUUCAUAGAUUGUUUUGGUGAUAUUAAUUAUUGUAGAAUAUGCAAAUGUUUGUAUAUUCAUAUGAACAAUGCAUUAGGCAAAACCUUUACUGUUUUUCGAAAAAAAAUUAUGAAUGAGAGGAAAAAGGAAAAUAAGAAGAGGAAGAAAGGAGAAGAAGAGGAGAAAUAAAUAAGAAGAGGAAAAAAGAAGAAAAAGAAGAGGAGAAGAAGAAAGGAAUAGAGGAGAGAAGAAGAAAAAAUAGAAUUUUUUCUAUUUUUUCUUCUUCUCUUCUAUUCCUUUCUUCUUCUCCUCUUUUUUUUCUUCGAUCUUCUCUAUUCCUUUUCUUCUUCUCCUCUUUUUAUUUCUUCUUCGUUUUCUUAUGUUUUAUCGGGUCUGUCGUCGUCGAUAUACCCCUCUCCCGAUAACUUCAACAUGAGGGGGGGGGUCGAUAUACCCCCUCCCCGAUAAUAUUAUUUUUCCAUGUACGUAUGUCGUCGUUGUCGAUAUAACCCCCUCCCGAUAACUUCAACACGUGGGGGGGGUCGAUAUACCCCCUCCCCGAUAACAUUAUUUUCCCAUGUAUGUAUGUCGUCGUUGUCGAUAUAUAUAACUCCCUCCCAGAUAACUUCGACAUGAUGGACGGUCGAUAUUUAUACCCCCUCUCGACCGUGAUAACUUAUACCACGGGAGCACCCCCCGGCCCUCUCGCUCGACCAAAACUCUCGAGGACACCCAAACCCUAGAAAAAAACGAUGUCGGUCUCCUACCCCCUCCCGCCGCGCCCCUACCCUUGAAGCGUUGCCGAGGCCACCCCAAACCCGGAAUAAGCUAGGUCUACGUUUGCACUAAUAUAUCCACCUGCUGUCAUGUCUGUGUAAUAAUUGCCAUGUUGUAAUAUUUGCAGAAACAAUGGAGCACGGACGAGACGAGCAAGCAGAAGAGGUGUUGGGGGACACAAUCUUAGCUGGAGGUGAUAUCUUGUCGUAUCUUAACGACAAUGAUGGUCUGGAAGAACAGGGUCAAGAAACAGGCUACGGUGAUCGAAGAGUGGAGGAGGAAAGACAUGAUUAUGAUGGCUCCGGUGACCCAAUGCUGGUACAAGAAGGAGCCCGUGGUGAUGGCUCCGGUGACCGAACAGAGUCCGGCCAGGUAAAUAUAUUAGUUAAGCCUGUGCUGACUAGCUAAUUGAUGCAUUCAUUGUUUUUGGUAUGUACACAUAUUAAUUAACACUCGUCUUUCUUCUUUUUUCUAGCCCUCCGGAUCGAGCACAACUGCGGUAAAGAGACGGGGCCCGAAGAGAAAGUUGCGCUCAGAUGAAAGAUUUGAGAUCACAGCAAUCGCGCGCGACGGCCAAGCGAUUGAACCCAUCCGGACAAAGGAUGCAUUUGCUGCUCAGUGCGGGAUUCUAGUUAGGGACAAGAUCCCGAUCAGCAUCCACCAAUGGUAUAAGCCUAAGAAGGAAGACCCUGAGGUGUCUUAUGUCAAUGAUAUGCAGAAAGAUGAUCUUUGGACUGAGCUGAAGGCAAAUUUCACCCUACCGCCAGAGGAGGAUCCGGAGAAGCCAGUUAAAGAGCAAUUAAUCAAGUCUCAUGCUCUUAAGAAGAUGGCAGACCUAUUCAAGAGGUGGAAUAAUGAGCUGAAAACGUUUGUCGACAAAGAAGAGACAUCAGAAUUCAUCGGCCGGUAUGAGAAGAUCAGAGAUCACUGGCCCGCAUUUGUGGCCCACAAGACAUCGGAAAAGAGUAAGAAGAUGUCAGCGACAAACAAGAAGAAUGCUGCGAAGAAGAAGCUUCACCAUCGCACGGGGUCAGGUGGCUACCUCAAAGCCCGACCUAAGUGGGCCAAGGCUGAGAAUGAUCUGCUUGAAAAAGGGAUCGAACCACAGACAAUGAACUGGACAGACAGUUGUCGGACUUGGUUCUUCGGGGCUGGCGGAACCUUGGACCCUGUAUCAGGGAGGUGCUUUUGGACGAACGAGCUUUUGAGAAUACCAGUCAAGAAGAUUCAGCAAUAUAUCGAUGCAGCGCAGGAAGGGACGUUCGUUCCAGACAGAGAGAACGACGAGCUCACAAUGGCCCUCGGGAAUCCUGAGCACCCUGGACGGACACGAGGCACGCCAGGCUCCAUUCCGUGGAAGGCUAGUUUUCGACGCGGGCGGUUACAAAACCCAGGAGAGGAGGAAAAAAGUGGAGCAGAUCCAAAUUCAGAAGCUGCACUAAAGGGUUCAAGCGCUAGACGAACGAGACGGCAAUCGACAUGCCGAAACUGCCCCCGAAGCUACACCGCCAUCUCAGCGGAGAAGCAGCGUGGCUUCCACCGAGCUGCUUCAGCUGGAGCAUGCGGCUCCUGCUAGCUACCCCGUGGAUGCUAUCACGGAGUCUCAACAUUGCCACCUUAUGGCGGAAUGGCAGAACUUCAAAGUCAAGGCGGCUGUUGGCUCUGUUUUACCUCCUGAACCCGGCGCAACCUACCACUACCGGCCGAUUCCAGAAGGAUAUGCUAGGGUGAUGGUGGAUGAAAUAACGGAGGGAUUUGAGGAGCUCCAGCUUGACCACCCUACCGGUGAAGGGGAGACUCGGCUGGGUUCUGCUCUGAAGACUCCAUGCCUAUGGCGGAAGGAGCUCAUCAAGCUUCCGAACUGGACGGCUCCGGCGAGUAAGGGCACUCCGCCUCCUCCUCCGGCGAGUGAUCAGGGCACUCAGCCUCCUUCUCCGGCGCGUGGCGGCACUCCGCCUCCUUCUCCGCCUGCGCCGGCGCGCCAGAGCAGCCAGCCUCCUCCUUCUCUGCCUCGUCAGCAAGGGCGGAAGAGACUCGCCGCCGCUGCGGCUGCUCCGGCGUGUCGUAGUCCUUCUCCUCCGCCUCGUAAGCAAGGAAAGAAGACAGCCGCAGCCGCUCCGCCUGCUCUGCCGGCGUCUAGCAGUACAGCUGCCAGAGGCGGGAGGCAAUACAGAUUCGGUCCUUCUCUGAAGACUCCAGAGAAGUUACCAUAUGAGAGGACCGAGGAGGAAACUAGGAAGAUCGUGCGAGCCGAAGUGACAAACUUCUUUGAAGGGGUGAAAGCAAAGAAACAUCCACCUCCGGAGGAGAAGGUAGAUCCGGUGAAAGCAAAGCGCACUCUGGCUGCCUUGACAAAACCACCAAAGUCUCCGCCGAGAGGCAACUAUGAGCGCAUUCUUGCAAAGACAUAUGCCGAAGCGGAGCGGUCGGGAAGUACUGUCAGUGAUCAAAGGUUAAAAGAACGACGAGCUGGGAAAAAAAUUGCCCAGCUCGGCGAACAAGCGAACCAAUCGUGCCCCCCGCUCAAGGUGUCAAAAGACAUCGUCGCUAAUGAUCCGAGGAUGGUGGCCGGUUAUAGCAAUCUUGGAGAUUACCUGCCCGAUGAUGUACAUUAUGAAAUCAUGGAGGUCGACGAACACAAAUACCAUUACGGGAAGCCUCUCGUCAAAGAUGAAAGAUCUCUAACAACGAUGAUGCGAAGACUACAUGAUUGGUACAUGAAAACCUGCAGAGAGUCUGAUGGGAUGAAUACUUUGACGCUGAGAGUUAAACCGGAGCAUCACCUCGUUGGAAUUGAUCUGUUGAAUGUUCCAUUUGAGGAUUUUUUCCAGUUUUACAAUCAAAAGGCCCUCGAUAAAACAACGAUCACUUGCUACUGUCUGUAAGUAGUACUACUUCUGUCAUUAAGUCUCUCUAUAUAGGUCAGGUCUUUCAUUGCAUGUAUUUAUAAUUAUCCUCACUAUAUUAUGCAGAUUGAAGAUUGCGAAUUGAAGAAAAGACAAAUCGGUGAUAUUGGGUUCAUUAACACAAAUCUCAUAGAUGCAUAUACGGUUGAAAAACAUCCCAAAGAAGCCGAGGCCAACUUGCUACAAUCGUUGGUAUUAAAUCAAAACAAAGAUAUAAUACUCUUUCCUUACAACUUCAAGUGAGUGUUACUGUCUUGUGCAUAUUCGGUUUCCCUUAUUAGUCCAGGUUAUGGUAAUGUAAUUGAUGACUUAUGCAUGCAUGCGCAGCUUCCACUAUAUUCUCCUAGAGAUUAAGCUUGAGCAGGGAGUAGUAACCGUCUUAGACUCGAGACGAAAAGAUCCCCAGGACUAUGCGAACAUGACUCAAAUGCUCGAGAAGUAAGUUAAAUCGAUCAUUAUCCACCAUAUCAGCAACUUUGUUCAUUUCCUGAUAUCAAGUAAUUGUUUUCUUUGUCUGGCAGGGUUUGGAGAAAAUUCACCGCAAAAGCUCCGGGACUGCCGAAGAAGCUGCAAUUUAAACACCCGAAAGUAAGUACUAUAGUAGCAUGUUCCGGCAUCUCCUAGUGAUUCAAGCGCUAGUUUCAUCAAUAGCAUUUAGCAUGCUUGCUUAUCAAUUUGAUUGACCUCUAUUUCUUGUAAAGUGGUUGUGGCAGGAACCCGGGAAUAAUUACUGUGGAUACUACGUUUGCGAGUCCAUCCGCUACACGACCUGUGAGCGGGGCUACACUGAAGAACAAUAUGAAGUGCGUAAGCAAUAAUAUUCACAAUUUUAUUUUAUUACCAUCAUUUGUGUUGAGUUUCAUUUAUUCAUAUAUAUAUAUGUAUUGACCCCCUUCUUCAAAUUAGAUGUUUCGGAAGCGGGAUGAACUCCUAGCACCAGAUCGUAUGCGAGGAAUUCAAGAGGAAUUGGCGGCAUUCUUCCUUGACCACGUGAUCGCUGAAAACGGAGAAUACUAUGUGGACCCUGUGUUCCUACAAUUUAAUUAGGAGAUCGUAUUGUAAGAGAUAAUCAUUGUAUAUAUGUAGCCGGUAGUCUCGGAUAGAUAUACGAGAACUUGUUGUUCGACCAAUCUCUCGGAGAAGGAGAGGUGGUCGAUAUCACUUCUCUCUGUAUGCAUAUGUUCAUGACGAUCUUCUGUUUCCUUCAUUUGAUUACUAGCUAGCGUGUCUAGUCCUCUCCAUACGUAUAUAGUACGUAGCGUCGACCAAGCACGGAGAUAGGAGAGGACACUUCUCUCUAUUAAUUAGCUAGCUAACACAAUAUAUGAAACACCUAAAUUAACCCCCCAAAACCCCUAAACCACCCCCUUUCAAAAAAAAACAAAAACCUCAGCUCCUGCCAGCUGCUGACGCGUGGAUGCCUAUUGGUCCCGGUUGGUGACACCAACCGGGACAAAAGGCCCUGCCUAUUAGUCCCGGUUGUUGGCACCAACUGGGACCAAAGGCCCCCCUGCCUGGGCUGGCAGCAGCGGCCACGUGGAGGACCUUCUGUCCCGGUUCGUGUAAGAACCGGGACUAAAGGGUUAGGGCUUUAGUAACGACCCUUUAGUCCCGGUUCGAAAACCGGGACAAAAGGCCCUUACAAACCGGGGUAAAAGCCCCAUUUCCUACUAGUGCUAGGUAACUAAGCAUACUAGAGCUAACUUAGAGCUAAGUUAGGUCAUUUUGGAGAAGAAGAAGAAGAAGGUUUUUACCCUUUUCCUUCUCAUUCUUCUUCUUUUAUUCUUUCUUUUUCUUCUCUUUCUUCUUCUAUUCUUUCUUUUUCUCCUCUUCCUUGUUUUCCUUCUUCUUAUUCCUUAUUUGUGUCAUUUUAGAGUUUACAUAGGUACUUAUGUCAUUUUUUAGCUAACUAAGCUUAUUAUGUCAAUUUGGAGGAAAAUAAGGUAAGUAUAGGUCAUUUUUGUGCUAACAUAACUAAUUAUGCCAUUUUUGAGCUAACGUAGGUAAAAUGGAUCAUUUUGGAGCUAACCUAGCUAAAAUGGAUCAUAUUGGAGCUUGAUAACCCACAAGUAUAGGGGAUCGCAACAGUUUUCGAGGGUAGAGUAUUCAACCCAAAUUUAUUGAUUCGACACAAGGGGAGCCAAAGAAUAUUCUCAAGUAUUAGCAGUUGAGUUGUCAAUUCAACCACACCUGGAUAACUUAAUAUCUGCAGCAAAGUAUUUAGUAGCAAAGUAGUAUGAUAGUAAUGGUAAUAGUAGUAAAAGCAAUAUUUUUGGGUUUUGUAGUGAUUGUAACAGUAGCAACGGAAAAGUAAAUAAGCGAAGAACAAUAUGUGAAAAGCUCGUAGGCAUUGGAUCGGUGAUGGAGAAUUAUGCCGGAUGCGGUUCAUCAUGUAACAAUCAUAACAUAGGGUGACACAGAACUAGCUCCAAUUCAUCAAUGUAAUGUAGGCAUGUAUUCCGAAUAUAGUCAUACGUGCUUAUGGAAAAGAACUUGCAUGACAUCUUUUGUCCUACCCUCCUGUGGCUGCGGGGUCCUAGCGGAAACUAAGGGAUAUUAAGGCCUCCUUUUAAUAAAGUACCGGACCAAAGCAUUAACACAUAGUGAAUACAUGAACUCCUCAAACUACGGUCAUCACCGGGAGUGGUCCCGAUUAUUGUCACUUCGGGGUUGCCGGAUCAUAACACAUAGUAGGUGACUAUAGACUUGCAAGAUAGGAUCAAGAACUCACAUAUAUUCAUGAAAACAUAAUAGGUUCAGAUCUGAAAUCAUGGCACUCGGGCCCUAGUGACAAGCAUUAAGCAUAGCAAAGUCAUAGCAACAUCAAUCUCAGAACAUAGUGGAUACUAGGGAUCAAACUGUAACAAAACUAACUCGAUUACAUGAUAAAUCUCAUCCAACCCAUCACCGUCCAGCAAGCCUACGAUGGAAUUACUCACGCACGGCGGUGAGCAUCAUGAAAUUGGUGAUGGAGGAUGGUUGAUGAUGACGAUGGCGACGGAUUCCCCUCUCCGGAGCCCCGAACGGACUCCAGAUCAGCCCUCCCAAGAGAGUUUAGGGCUUGGUGGCGGCUCCGUAUCGUAAAACGCGAUGAAUCUUUCUCUGUGAUUUUUUUCUCCCCGAACACGAAUAUAUGGAGUUUGAGUUAAGGUCGGUGGAGCUCCAGGGGGCCCACGAGGCAGGGGGGGCGCGCCCAGGGGGGCAGGCGCGCCCCCACCCUCGUGGCAAGGGUGUGGGCCCCCUGGCCUUGAUUCUUUUGCCAGUAUUUUUUAUUAUUUCCAAAAAUAUUCUCCGUGGAGUUUCAUGUCAUUCCGAGAACUUUUGUUUCUGCACAUAAAUAACACCAUGGCAAUUCUGCUAAAAACAGCGUCAGUCCGGGUUAGUUCCAUUCAAAUCAUGCAAGUUAGAGUCCAAAAUAAGGGCAAAAGUGUUUGGAAAAGUAGAUACGACAGAGACGUAUCAGAGCUAACCUAGGUAAACUUGGUCAUUUUGGAACUAACCUAGGUAAAAUGGAUCAUAUUGGAGCUAACCUAGGUAAAAUGGGUCAUAUUGGAGCUAACAUAGGUAAAAUGGGUCAUUUUGGAGCUAACUUGACUAAUUAUGUCAUUUUUAGUUAACUAAGCAUAAUUAUGCCAUUUUUUACAUAAGUAAGCCAAGUGUAUGUCAUUAUUGAGCAAACCUAGGUAACUAAGCAUAUUAGAGAUAACUUAGCAUAUUAGAGCUAACUUAGGUCAUUUCGGAGGAAACAAAGCUAAGUAUAGAUCAUUUUGGAGAUCUGACAUACCUGACAUAGUUCACUCCUCCUUCUUCUCCUUCAUCAUGCUGAUGUGCCUAGAGCGGCGAGGCAGUGGGAUGUAGUCUUCUACCACAAUUGGCAUGGUCAUGUUGCCCGGCUGUGGGAUCGCCGGCGCCACCACCAUCGCGAGGUCAUUGUCAGGCACCACCACCAUCGCGAGGCCAUCUUCAGGCAGAACCAUCGCUAGGUCAUCCUCAGCCACCACCAUCUCUUGCCCAUCGUCAGCCACCACCAUCGUUUGGCCAUCGUCAGCCACCACCAUCGCGAGGUCAUCGUCAGACAGAAUAGGUUGCACCUCCUCAUCCCCACUCUGCUCCUCUUCUUCCCCACUCCAUUCCGGAUCAUCCUUGCUGCUGCUUUCGCUGUAGCCAAACUCGCUGCUGCUUUGGUUAUAGCCAGAGCCGCUGCUCCGAUUGCCUGACCAAAUGCAACAAAGUUUUUUUAACGAUCAGUGUGAGACAAAGCCAAAUGGAGAGGAAGAAGAGGCAGAGCGUACUGGCAUCGUCGUCGUCCUGGUAGCGCAUGCGGCACAUAGUCGUGUUGAACACCUUCACGGUGAGCAUGGCGUCGCCGUCGUACCUGAAGACAAGGAAGUACCCGUGCCUUAGGUCGUAGGUACGGACGAACUGCUCCCAGCCACGACACAGGUACAUGUGGUCAUUCCUGAUCACCACCUCCACGUCCCAAAGCCUGCGAAGCCCGCUGCCGGCCUGUCACAGCUUCACAUUCUUUGGCCGAUGGCCGUCUAGCAUCUCCAUAGAAGUGUUAGGCAGCCUCUGCAACGUGGGUCAAGGAGUGAUGUAGCAAACAGCAGAGUUAUGAUAAAGAGAUGGUUGAAUGGGAGAUCUCUCCUUUUAUAUACCUGCCUCUUGGAGGAAUUCUCAAGUAUGAUCGUGAAGAACUCGAAACCUUCCAACUCGAACUCCGGUGUGGCAGAGCGUAGCCUGCGGUGGCGGCCUCCCCCCAUCUCUGAUAAUCAACAACAUCAACAACACUUAAUUAAUUUCGUAGGUUAGUUGUCAAUGGCAAUUGGCACCCUUCAAAACUAGGGAUUUUUUAGACAUGAAAGCACAACCAAAAUAACAACCCUAAACUCCUAAUACGUACAGAAUGCACAAGUUGUUCUGAAAUUUUGCACUCAUUAGCAACCACUUCAGAUAACACGAAGCAGCACCAUUUAUAUCCAAUCAAAGAAAGGCCUCAACAAUGUUUCCAAAUUAGUGGGUUUUUGGACCACUAGAACACAACUUAACAUAAAACAACAACUUAUAAGAAAUAACCCUACCAUCUAAAACCCUAAAAAUGAUAGGAUCCUAAAAGCGCCAAAUAAUAAUACACUACACUCAGGAGCACAAUACUCUUCCUCAGAGAUCAGUGUUAACAAACAAACGCAAUAACUCCACAUCAACUUGUAAAUAAAAAUCCAACAGCAGCAUCACCCCCGAGUCUAACGGUAAGAGCAUCCGGACAAACCACAAGAGAAGCGCAGCAAGGGGUCUUACCGCAACCCAAACCUAACUGCUAAGUUGUGCAUUCAACGAUUUCGUGCUUAAAACCUAAACCCAAAAUUUGAUCUUUCCUAACUCAUUAUCUUUUUAGUCAAAUCUUCAUUGAAUCCAGCAAAAAAAAAGAGAAAAAACAAGCACACAUGAUCAAACCCUAAACCGUUUUAUCUGUGCUAAAACCCCUCUUUUGUUUUUUUGGCAAAACAUCAUAUGUGAAAACUAUGGAUUUCGAUUACCGGCAGUGCAGAAAACCUAGAUCUGAACCUUAGACAGCAAAAAAAUAAAAUAGAAAUAAGGCAGUAAGCUCCAAAACUUAUGUUAAUUGAGUGUAAAUUGAGAAGAUUUUAUGUAAAUCUAUCUAUGUAUUCCGUCAGGGUGAAAAAGAAACGAAAUGGUCAUGGCCGGGUUGGGUUGGUCCCAAAAGACACACAGUCGAAGCAACAGGCAGCACAGCACCAUGAGUGGAGUGCGCCCCGGCCGAAUGAACCAAAGGUUUGGGUUGGUUUGGCGCACCCACACUCGGCGGUUCACUGCGACUCGCGCCGCUCCACUCCACUCUCCCCAACCUCUGCCUCCAGUCCCAAAUCUCUUUCUUGAUUCUUUCUCCAUACGCACUGCACCGCACCGGCGCAUCACCACCCCGUCGGGCCCUCCCUCCGUCUUGGUCUACCCCAGCCAGCCUCUUCCAAGGGUGGGCCGAGCGAGCUGCAGAAAUUCCUUCCCCGACAAAGAAAGAAAGAAACGCGCGCGCGUGCGUAUAAAUCCAUCCGACCCAUCCAUAGGCCAACAACGAAGACGCGCGCAGGCAGCGCCGCGCCUGCCGAAUCCCCUCCUUCCCCUCCACCCGAUCCCAUGACCUAACUACGAGCAUCUGCUAAGUUGUGCAUUCAACGAUUUGGUAACGGCAAAACCCAUGACCUAACUACGAGCAUCCAUCACCUCACCAAGAAACUAACUGAAGAACCUAAACCUAAACCUAAACACAGAGAGAGAGAGAGGAGGGAGGGAAGAGGGAGGGGUGGCGCACCUCGGUGUUGGGGACGGCCGGGGUCGGGGGAGGGGCCGGGCCGGGGGGGUCGACGGUGACNNNNNNNNNNNNNNNNNNNNNNNNNNNNNNNNNNNNNNNNNNNNNNNNNNNNNNNNNNNNNNNNNNNNNNNNNNNNNNNNNNNNNNNNNNNNNNNNNNNNNNNNNNNNNNNNNNNNNNNNNNNNNNNNNNNNNNNNNNNNNNNNNNNNNNNNNNNNNNNNNNNNNNNNNNNNNNNNNNNNNNNNNNNNNNNNNNNNNNNNNNNNNNNNNNNNNNNNNNNNNNNNNNNNNNNNNNNNNNNNNNNNNNNNNNNNNNNNNNNNNNNNNNNNNNNNNNNNNNNNNNNNNNNNNNNNNNNNNNNNNNNNNNNNNNNNNNNNNNNNNNNNNNNNNNNNNNNNNNNNNNNNNNNNNNNNNNNNNNNNNNNNNNNNNNNNNNNNNNNNNNNNNNNNNNNNNNNNNNNNNNNNNNNNNNNNNNNNNNNNNNNNNNNNNNNNNNNNNNNNNNNNNGGGGGAGAGAGAGAGAGAGGAGGGUGAGGUGAGGUGGGGCGCCGACACUUAGUGGAGUGGGCCCGGGGGCAAACGGCCAGUUUCUUUACCGUCUGCUGGCUGACGGCGCCGUCAGCUAGCGGACGGCAAAGAAACUGGCCGUUAGGUCAUCCCUAUAUUCCGCCAUCCACCAUCUUUGCCGUCUGCUAGCGGACGACAAAAAACAGGCUGACGGCAAACGCCUUCAUUUCCGUCCGCUCUUUCUUUGCCGUCAGCUUUAUUUAAACUAAUGACAAAGAACUUCUUUGCCGUCAGCUAGCCGACGGCAAAGAGCUGGCUGGCGGCAAAGAUUCUGAUUUCAGUAGUGUCCGAUCGAUGGGGGAUGUUGGGUACCAACGACGACCACAUACGGAUUGGGCUUUAAUAGUACAGAUUAUUUGAACGACUAUGAAAUGUCACGAGGCCAAACUAGUAGUGCUACAAGAGAAAAAUAAUAAUCAUACACUUCUUGUACUUUGAUGUUGACUUCAAUUCAAUUUUAAUUGAAUUUUUUCCACCAUUAAAAAUCUGCAUGGAGUCCGUAGGCCUCACUUGAUCUGAACAGUGACGGUCGCAACAUUGUCAUUUUCUAUAUCUAUACUUCUAUACUACUAUUAAAAAAGCAAACAUCAAUUACCCUAAAUCCAUCAAAUUUAGUGUACACAAGAAAAUCAGAACCCUUGGAUUUAACCCACUUAAUUGUAUCUAAGAGCCCAUAUUACUUCGGUGGUCGGCCAUCGAAACAAACGUACGCGAUUAAAUGUUCUGCCAGUCUGCCAGCAACGUACGGUCUCCACGCAUGCCCACUAAUCCACUCACGACCUCAUUACCCCUGAACUAACAUGACGUCUCAUUUGCAAACAAAAAAAAAAACAUCACGUCUCCAACUCCAACCCAGUCGCCACAGAACUCCUCCCAAUUCCCAUCGCCGCCGCCCGCCGCUCCUCCUCUCCUCUGCUACCCUAGGCACGAGGAAUCAACCUCCUAAAGCAACUGGAGCGGCAAGCGGCGGAGGAAUGGAGAGAUGGCGUGUGCGGCGGCGGGAAGGAGAUGGGACGGGCGUCCUACAUCCGGAUCAAGCACGAUGAGGAGCGGUGCAAGGCGUCCAGGAAGGAGCCCGAGGGGCGCGGCGCUUCUUCGGCCUUCAGGUCGUGGCAGCCAGCGGCCGUCGCGGGCACGGAGGCACCGCGCGCCAUCCUGGUGGGGCGGCCCACUGGGUGGCCGAAACCCCGGCCGUUGUAGAUUCAGUGAUCGAUUCCAAUAGCCAAGAUUGCAUGGUAGUCUAGGUUUGGUUGUGAGUUCUUUAUCGCUGGGGAUUGGAUUGGAUGGCGUAGUACUACAGGGCAAGAAGCCACAAUUGAAUGGCAGUAGUAUUUCUUCUUUUUGUUGUCAGAAACCUUUUUUGUGUCGAUUACAAAGCAAGAAACUGCUUGGUUGUUCGUGCAAAAAAUGGUUCGUCGUUCCUAAUUUUUCUGAUUUUUGUUGCCCAUGGAACGUAGGCCAUCUACAACGUCAGUGCCCUCAACGGGGUUUGGCAUGACUUGCUGGUCUCCGUGUGCUUCAGUGCUCUCCAGCCAUGAUGUCGUCUCAGGACUGUUCGAUGGCGCCCUCGACGACAUGUGUGGCGGGGCACAACGACAUGCGUGUCCAAUCCUGAUUCCUUCAGCUAUUUGUGUUUCCUUCUUGGGUGUCCUGUGGGUGCACGAAGACACCAUCUAAUUAAGAGUUUUCAUUUCUUUCAUAUAUGCAAUGGUUUGCGGUAUACAGUUUUUUAUAUAGAGUCCCAGUUUUGAUGUUUUACAAAAUGAAAGAACUAUGUAGAAAUUCCCCCUAAUGCUUAAUUGGUUACUUAUUUCUCUCAUUUUCCAUUGUAUUAUGAUUGAGAAGAUACGGUUGGGCCUAUGAGAAGAACAUCCACUCUUUAAUUGCAGGGGGUGCAGGCGAGGUAGUGCUGCCGCCCUUCCUCUACAGACCAAUCCCUCCACGUCAUAUCUUCAUUUCCCUCCCACAUCUCUUGCUUCUCUCUUCCAUCUAGAUUAGCCCCUGGAUAUGGACGAUGUCAUGUCCUCCAUUGCCGCUGUUGCUAUAAUAUGAUUUAUUACAACUUGUCUGAAUCGGUUAGAAGAGGAUUGAUCAAUUGUUUCGUGAGCAUUCAUAUACGUUUAAGUUUCAUUAUCAUCUGAAGUGUGAACUUGCUUCAAACAGUCAAUCUACCUUCCUGCCACAGAUUUCUUUGCAUCGGUGAUUGUGUAGGAAACGUCUUUCUUCCAAAGAGUAAAUGUUUUCAGACCACAUAUUUAUGGUCUGUUUUGUUCAGAUAAGUGAUUCAAUGCGUAGCAAUGUAGUCUUUCGUAGAAUUUGUACUGAACGAUUCUUUUUGAACUCUAAAUAUUCUUAUUGACCACCAAGAUUGUAGCCCACAAAUUAAAAGGUAAACGCUUAUUCCUCUCUGUCCAGGAUACUAUUGUGAGAUGGUCUGAUACAUAAAAGACGGCCUCAAGCCCCUCUGCGGAUGCGUCCAGUCUCGCUGUUCUACAAAUUUCGCUGGAACAACGAUCUUCCAACUUCGCCGGAACGCCGACCACAUGUGCUCCACCUGAGGUACGUUGUUCUAAAAUAUACACAGCCAAGUCAUGAGUAGCCUUGAAGUAGCAAGCUUUUAUGUUUCAACUAGGUGCUGGGGCGCGCCCUUGGCGCGCCUCUUGAGGUGGAGCUGUGCGCCCUUGUAUUGUGGGAGCACCUCAACGCCCUGCUAUAGACAUCCUACAGAGUCUAGGUUGGUCCUCUGCUAAUAGCAAAUUAAUAGUAGUUGGUUGUCAAAGUUAUUUGUUUUCUUUUCUAUAGAAAGGCUGAAAGCUUGAAAUGAAUCAACAUUUUUCAUGCCAUUUAGAUCAAAACUAAAAACAAACACAUUAUAAAUUAUCUAGCUAAGCCAUUGUAUAUAUUAGCUAGACCCCCUGUCAAUUUGUUAAACACCUUCGCUGUCACCCACUAAGAAUAUUUUUGUCCUUGCUCAUUCUCAGACCACAUGCUCAAUUAUUGGUAAACGAAAUCACCUUCAAGCUUGCUGCCCAAACUCCAAAAUGCUUCCUUAAGAUUCAUGUUAUAUAUUGGUGAAGUUAAUAUUCCAGAGGGCCUUCAGAAGGUUUGACAUAUAGACUCCUUCAGGAGGGCCCCUUAACAAAGGGAUAACAAGAAAAAAUCACGAAGUGUUGAUGCAGUGCAAAACCAAUAGGUGAUCACUCUGGAUCGACAAAAAAAAAAAAAAGUGGUCUCUUCACACUUCUGUGCACAUGCUUAACAAAGAACACAACCUAAUGCAUUGCAUCAACUGGAAUGAAAUAAAUCACAUCGGUUAAAUAGUCAAUCUGUGUUAGUGGCAAUGUUCAUUUGUAAAUAAAAAAACAGAACACAAGUACCCAUACUAUGCCCAAGCUAGAUGACCCACACAAAACGGUAUCCUUCUCUUUAUGUUGUAGUCUGCAUAUCCAAACCAAACAAACAUACCCCACAAAAUUCUAAUAGGAUUGCAAAGCUGGAAGCACCUGACCAUAAAUGUCUUCAAGUUUGGCUCCUGAAUCCUUCAUAAAGCUCUACAGCGCAGCUUACACAAACAAAAUACAACUGGACCCUUGAUAGGAUCGUAUUAAAGACAUCAUAAAAGCAACAUAGUACAUAUUGUACAAUCAGUAGCUCACAAGGUUUGCAAGUGAAAUGUCCAGGCUAUGCAAACUUACAGCCUCAGAUAUUUUCUCAGGUGUAGAAAAUGCAACACAAGUAGACCCCUUGCAAACACCAAAAUGUCCAGGCUAUGCAAAGUUACAGCCUCAGAUAGUAACUGUACUUGACUAACUUUAGUACAUACACAUUUAAAGGCACUGGCACAAACAAAAUGGGAUGAGUAACACACAGUGUUACACGGUAGACGGCACACACACAAAUUGUACGCAUGAUAGAGCAUGGUAGCAUACUGUCUAGUAAAUGAACAAACAUCUAGGAAAGAACAUCCAAUAAGUCCCAAUAAAAUGCUUAAAAGAAGAUGUCGCAUACUACCUAAUCACAAAGAAACAACAAAAAUACAAGAUUUUGACGAGCUGUAUAGCAAAAGAAAAUGUGAGACAAAGGGAGUAUAUAGCAAUAGAAAAUGAUAGCUAACCAUGAAUAUCAGAAAAUGGUAAGUAAUGAAGACAUGUCGCACGACUGAAAAACCUUACAAUACCUACAGAGACAUAAAAUCGACAAAUCGUUGAAUAGUAGUAGAUGAUGAGAUGCCAAUAUCCUGAUGGUAGAUUGCAUUCGAGAUAGUCUAAAUGGGCAAAAAAUUGAGAAGAGGUGUACCACAACCUGGUUAUUUCAUAUCUCUUGCAUUUAUUUCCUGUACCACAAUUUUAUGGAGCUCAUUAAUAUGCAUACACAGAUGUACACUGAACAAUAUCAGCAAAUCUACAUUGUUUAAGUGCCAGAAUAUAUUGUUCAUAAAUGCUGAAAUGAUCAAAUAUGUUUGGCAUACCUUCUCCACUGCAUGAAUUAAUAUAUUAACAAAUUAAGCUGCACUCUAGUUUUCACCAAAGCUCAAGUGAUCACAAGAUACGUAGUUUGAGAACCAUUCCAACGUUGCUCGAGAAGCAUAACUGAAGUACUAAACAUGCCAAAAUAUCUGGAGGUACAGUCAGAUUGAAUACAAAAAAAUCAAUAUGCUCUGGAAUAAUUACAAAACAUGCCAAAAUCUUUGGAGCGAGGUACACACUGAGUUAAUUCACAAAAAUCAAUGCUGAAGAAGAAUAACUGGACAUGCCAAAAUCUCUGGAGAUAAAGCCUGAAUGAAUCGAGAAAAUUCAAGCUGGUGGAUGGAGCCAUUGGCAUACAACUAAGUUUUACCAAUAAGGACAUGCGCUUAAAAUAAAGACCAAGUUCAAUGCCAUAUGAUAUUACCAAAGCAGAGAAUACCAAAGGAAACAAAUAGAUUGUUCUGCUACCUGAUAAAUACUUGAUAUAUGAAUCCGUAACAUAUUUACAAUAUCUCAUAAUGAGUGACUUUGAUUUUCUCAGGCCUAAAAACAAUAAUUGCUGCUCAAGUACCAAUAUCAGCAACUCAAAAGGUUGUCAAACUUAAGAUGGGGCAAGAGUUGUGUGGUAUCAAAGGCCAUUAUGACAUUCAAAAGAAAAGGAUCACAUUUAAAAUUUUAGAAAACUACAAAAAAAAAAGUGAUAUUCAGAAGGGAGAUACCUUUGACAUGAACAAGGUCACCAUGAAUCUUCAGGCAAGAUUGACCAAAUUAACUACAUUUGCAAACACUCUCAUUCAUUCUGCAAUAACCGAUCACCUCUCUUGAAACUUAAAGAUGCCAAGUAAUUGUUCUAGUAGGUAAUACACUGAAUGCUAGAAGAUAAAAAGGAUUGUGGAGGAUUAUAUGCUUAUUAGAAGAUAAAAGUUCUAGUACAUAAUACACUGAAUGCCAAGUUUGCAGCAGCAACUCUGCUUAUUAUGUCAGAAGAUAAAAAUGAUUGUGGAGGACUAUAUGCUAGUAAUUGUUCUAGUAGGUAAUACACUGAAACAACACAAAUAGACAAGCCUGGCAUGGCAAAAACAACUUUCAAAGAUGCAUCAGCAAACCCUACUCAUGAAAGAAAGAGAAUUGAAAUGUAACCUUAGUGCGAGGAGGCUACGAACUCGAUCUCCAUGAUGACACCGCGCUUGAGGAGGCCGCUCUCACUGCCUGCCACCCGCUGCCUGCUCGAACUCACCAUGAUGGCUGCCUUGGACCAGAGGGAGGAGGCGUCGGUGACGGUGAGGCGAAAAUGCAUGUAUCAAUACUAUUCAAAGCUGUACAUGUUCAAAUUGAGCACCUUGCUCGGGCUGGCUUCGCUACACUGGGCCUCGUCCACGGCCCCUUCCUCAGCGCCGCGGCGCCGCCCUAAUCACCAGCUUAACUCAGCCACUGUGAAAGGAAAUUAUCCAAAUUUCCUCUACAAUGACCCUUACGGCUACUUUAACUUACCAAGCUAGUAGAUAAGCAUUAUAAAUCUACAACAACAAUAACAACAACAGGCUUACACGGUCACCAGACAAUGUAUAUCUAUCUGGCUGACGCACAUACAUGACGAUGUUGUGAGUACAUUUAUAUCUGUUGGUGCCCAGGAGGGGGGAUGUCAGAAGCGCGUCUUCAGAUGAGGGUACCCGGGGUUCUGCAUCCCCAUCCCUUGAUCUGCCUUCCUUCUCAACUGUCAACGUCAAGAAAAUCAAAUGACUUGUUGAUGGUCACAAGCGUUAUUCAAAUAACAGUAGCUAGGAACGUAAGUGAAAUAAAAAUAUACAACAGACCUGGUGUGGAUGUGGAUGAAACUGGCCACCUGCGCCUCUCUGCAUUGGCAUGUUACUGGGAUUCAUCACAACCAUGCCUGCUUGGGGCCCUGCACCAAAGGCACCCAUGUUUGCACCAGGAGGCAUUCUUUGCAUACCACCCAUAGGCUGUUGCAUUCGCCUUGGGAGUGGUCUUGGUACAGGCUGGCCUCCUGGAGGUCUAUUCCCUGAUGGCUGAAACAUGAAUGCAUCCUGUUAUUAUAGAUCAUAGCACGAUAGUUCUUAAGAAUAUUUUGGUUCACUCAAAGUGGGACUGAAAUAAAUCUUCUGAGGGAAUUAAACAAGAAACAAAAUCUAAUGCAUCAGGGCAUCAUAAAUAUAAUCAGUGUAACGGAUACGAGGAUUGCACGCACCAGUUUGGAAAGCAUAUCAACGGUGAAUACUGCAUCGAAUUCAUUGGCCUUUAGUGCUUCAAGAAUGAAGUCAGCAGACACAUCUGGGAACAUCAACGAGAGAGAUUCCACCAUGGCAAGAUGACUAUCGGCGUGACUUGACUCAGUUGCUUCUCCUUUUGUGAUUCAGUAGAGAUGUUGAUCUUACCUACGCUUUCAGCAUAAUCAUCAAAAGAAAGGGACUCUGGGAGUUCAUACCCAACAGACUUGUCAGCGGUCUCAUUCUUUUCAGUCUCAUCUACUUGCUUCUCAGGGUCCUUCUUUCCUUUCAAGGCAAGCACGAAAGGAGCGGCAUGGGAAUCAACUGAAAAGACCGCUCCAGUGCUCGUGAUUCAGCAGAUCUAUCAAAAUAAUCAAGGAAACAUAAGUAUUGUACGAGCAGCCGUGAACUCAUGAGUCGUCUGUCAUCAUAUCACUACAUUUUGCAUGCAUAUCAAAUUAUGUCGAGAACGUAACUCUUGCACUCUCAUAUAAAAACACUUCGAUGAGUGCAAAAGGGUAUGCAUUAUUCAAAGAAAAUUAGAUGAAACCCAUCUCCACAUUAUUCAUCAGCAUAAGCAGUUGAUUCUUAAUGUGAAUUAUAAACUUAUAAUCCUCAGAACUCAUAAUAUCAACAUGUAGUAGCUUGUCAGUACAGGGUACACUAUGUGUGGAAAAUGUAUCACAUCUUAGGUAGAAUAUAUAUACAUCAAUCAAAGAUGAUCAGACACUGCUAUAUCAAAACAUGAUCAGACACUAGUACAUCAGUAUGUACUUACUUACAGCAGAUUAAACUGAUGCAUACGUCUAACUUGACUGGCUAAUUAAAUAUGUCCUGCACCAUGGGAGAUGAUUUUGCCACAAGUUAAGGAAGAAAUCUAAAUCUCCGUGAGACGAAGCACAUUCACUGCACAAGUUUUCCACUAAUCUUUGAUUGAAAAAAGCUUUCCACUAAUCAGGUCAGAGAAUGUAAAAUUAAGAUUUAGGCAGAGAUGGAGCUUCUAUUACCGGCUGAGUUGGUUGAAUGCUUGUUCUUCCUUCAAAUCUGUUCCUGUUGACAUAUCUACUGGAUGAACAAGAUAUGUUGCAAUUUUCUCGCCUGGCUGAGAUGGUACAAGUGCACUGACCACAGAGACAUUUUAGGCACAAGAGAUGGGAACAUCCUUCGGAAUCCAUGGGCGAGCGGUACAUACCUCGUUCCCUCGCGGAAGAUCAGAUGGAGAAGUGUCGAUCUUGGUUCCUCCAGCCCCAUGCCCUUGCCGCCCAGCUGCUCGUUCUGCCUGCUGCCGACCCGUCUCCUCUGCAUCUCCCUAUGCAGUUUGCCCACUCUCCUUCCUCUGCCUCCGCCCACCGCUUCCUCUGCCUCGCCAUCUCCAUCUUCUUUCUCGGCCUCCUGGCCUCCAACUUCUCUACAUCGCCGCGGCCGCUGCUAGUCCACACACCUCUGCUAGACGUCAAACGCCGACCACCACCUCGGCGGAGGCGCCUUUGCCGCUGCUCACCUCACUGUUGUUGCCAUGGACAUGGGGCUCGGGAGAGGGGGCGCUGCUUCUCAUCCACCUUACCUGAUGCCGUCUGCCGAGGCACGGCACCAUCGACCCAACGCCGGUGGAUUGCUCGCAGCCACCGUAUAUGUGGAUCAGCACGAGGCACACGUCCCCGGCGACGUAGAGGAGGUCGGCGAUCUCGUCCCCUACGUGCGCCAUCGUCGCUCCCUUCCGAUGAGGCCACCCUGCAUCUCCUCCUUCUCUGUUCUCAAGUUGCCGGCGCCUUGCUUGGACGGGGUAGAUAGGGGCGAGGCGGCGGCGGCGGCGGAUGGGAUGGGAUGGAAACGAGAGAGAUUUUGGGGAGAGGCAAAGGAGGUCGCGUGCGUUGGCAGAGAAGGAGGGCUCAACGCAAUCUCCUCUGUCUUUUUUUUUUCUAUAGAUAGACAAAGCGAAUGAUAUGGUGGGCCUGCCUAUUUCUUUUUGCCUCAUAGCAUUGCCGACGUGGAGUACGCGAGGGAGCGGCCAUGAUGCACACCUUAUUGUUUUGGAUAUUUAUUUCAAAGAGCAUGUGUUUUGGGCUUUAUACUUCACCAUGACCUUGAACACCAUCUCAGGUUUAUCAUUUAGUAUUUCUCAUUCAUGGCCCUUAAAAUGUAUCCUCGGAUUGUUGAACUUUAUGAUUGCAGGAGUGUCUCAUGGCUUAAUAGUCGUUCAGGCACGUGCAAUUUUUAGGAGUGAAGUCGGGAGAAUAGCUUCUUCUGGGGUUGAGGUUUCAACAGAUUGAUUUCAGCGGAGGGAUGAUGAUGCAGUGGUAAUAUUUAUGGUAAGACGUGUGGAGUAAAAAUUAAAAGUUGAUACCAUUUUUGGUCUGCUCAAAUUUUAUCCGUCUAGAGAAACUUGGUAUCAUAUACUAAGAUGAGAAAUUGUAUUAUUCAAUUCUUGACAUUUAACAGUGAACCGAGAUGUUCUAGCAUGGACUACAAACUGAUAUCAGCUACGUUUGGAUGUAGUGAAAGGAAAUCUACUUCUUGCAGUUGCAGGACCAUGAGAUGUCGGCGUUGCACCGUGGACACACCAAGGUCCCAGCCAAGUCAGUGAUCCUGCCCCGACUACCGAUUUCUUCAUCUUGAGGAAGCUGCAGCAGCCUGACUCAUUUUUGCAUAUUGUCGGCCUAUCCGAUAUGCUGCUGGGCAAUUACCACUACUCCCGUUGGAUAGGUGAACCAUGCAACUCUAUCCUUCAUGCUCUUCCCUUGUUAUCCAAUUGCUCUUGAUAAUUUAAUGAUUCAAUCAAAUUUCAUUGCAAAGCAUACUGGAUAGGGCUUUUCUUCUUUCCAAUGCAGUGUUGGUUUGCGUUAAGAUGGAAAUCCAAAUCCAUACAUUUCUAAUUCUUGUUGUUAUAAUUACACAAGUAUUUUCUCAUAUUAUUUCUUCAUUAACUAAUGUUCAUACAGAACACCAUCUCAGUAACUAGACCUGAUAUAAUAGUUAGUUUUGACAUUAGAUGCAACAACAUUGAUAUUGCUAAAUUGAUCAUGUUUUUAGUAGGAUAAUAAACUUGUCUAGCAUUUCAUUAUGAAUUGCAGGCUCUCAAAAUAGAUCUAUCUGCUCCCUGAAUUAUUCUUGGUGUAGUUUCUGAAUCAUACAUCCUGACAUGCAUUUUGCAUUGGCAAUCAUUAUUCAACGGAAUGCCUUUUUAUUGAAUAUAGACAACUGAAUGGAUUAAUGUUAUGCUUAGUAUCUUUUGGCAUAUCUCUCACACUCAAUUCAGAUGCUAUCUUGGUUGCGACUGAGUAGUCUCGACUAUACUUCAACCCGACAUCAACGAAGCAAAUAACUUGAUUAUAAGGUAAAUUCAUGAUUACCAAUGCCUAGCUAUUUUUUGAUCUUGACUGACACAAAGGCCAAAGGGUGCAAUGUGUAAGUUCAGAGAGCUCUCGCACUUUCUCCAACCAAAUAAGUCUUUUAUGCUAGAUUUUCUUUCAAGAUAACAAUAAAUCUUGGGAGCAUCCCUGUCCAUGCAUGGAACAAUACUGGAGAGAUAGAGUGCUACUGUCUUGCAUUUCUCAAUAUCCCUAACUUUAUUGCCAAUAUUAUGAUCAUCAUUAUAUUUUGUUGGUACACCAAUAUAUUUUGUUUGUUUUAUUGAUCUAUUUUCUUCCUAGGAUGAAUGCGGAUUGUUUUCACAUGAUGAUACGUGCAUUGCACGUGCACGCUUACUAGUGAAUAGUCGUGUGUAAACCUUUUCCCCUGCCGUCUAGCUGGUACCUCGUACUUUGCAACAUUGUCACGGCAAUCAUGGUUGCAUCACUUUAGAUUUCUACAAAAUCAUCAUUCUUAAAUUAAAAUUUACCAAAGUGGCUCAAAAAAUAAACGGAUUGAUGUAUGUUUACCAAAUUAUUUCUCAAAAAGGAUAGUACUUGUAAGAUCGCCAAACCAAUAUAAAAAGAUUAAAAUUUUCCAACAGCUGGACCAAUCGAGGGAGAACCAACACUAACCACACAGGAGAAGAUUGCAACACUGGCAGAAAGGGAGUUGCUGAACCCUUCCUAUAGGCCAGUGGGAACGGUGAAAGCGUUGAAGGUUACCGAAUACGACAACGACAUGGUCCCUCGAACCCCACCAGCUUCUUCGCAUCCUGCAAGUUCACUUUGUACCUAUGCGCUCAUGGACACAGUGAUAUGUGGCUUAGAUCAUCAAGCAGUUAUGCGAAAUGACACACUUUGUGCUUCUUUCAGGUGUAUCAGGCAUCAGUUAUGCCCAAUAGAAGCGACAACUGAGCAAUGAUCUACAGCCAACAUCAGAUGCGUAUGAUUUCCAUUAACAAAGAAGAUUCCACACCGUUCAAACUAAGGGCGCUUAUACAUAAUUACGUAUACAUCUCAUUUGUUAUUGGGAUCGUGUGAGGUUGUACUUAUCAAACUUGUCCACUUUGGAAACCUGUGUUAUGGAAGUGAGGUAGAACAAAUAAGAUAGAAGUUGUUGUGUCGUGGUCCAGUUUGUGUUAGAACUGUCUCCAAACCAAAUUGAGGAGAGAAAAUAAGAGCAAUUACAUGAAGCAGAGGCACAUGUUUAUUGGACAAUAUUACCCUCUUCAAAGAUUUUAUGGGAGGGUGUGCCCAUUUUUUGUCCUUUCUAUGUUUUCUGAUCAUAUAAGACCGCUGAGGACAUGCCUUCGCAUAUUGGAAGCCUAUUUUUUUCUAUUUCUGUGUCCGUUAAAUCAUGUGAAUCAAUGAGAAUCAAUGAUCAUACCAAUGCAAACAACCACAAUUGAUGAGGUUGUGCGCAACAUUUUUAUUACACACCAAAAGAGGACAAAUACAUUAUGCAUAUGCCAUUCAGCUGACAUCAUUCUUUGCUUUAUUCAAUUAUUCCCAUUAUGAGAAUGUUCUUACACUGAAGGCCUAGGUACUUGCCGGGGGUGGACGUCGUCGCUUUAUGACCGGAACAAGGUAACCUGCAAAAUUUGCAUUCUUCGCAUCAUGAUGAUGAACAUAAGCAAUUAUAAUAAAGUGUGCACAUAUAUCAACACAUGCGCAAAAAAAGAUGUGUGUGUGUGUGUGUGUACAAAUAUAACAAUAUACCAACCUGCACAAUGAGUGUGUGGGUGCAACCCUUUGCCGCAUACAUGUGUAAUACAGGCGAACUUGGGUAGACUGAUCCUAGUCAGUUCGUGAGCGGUGAACCGAUCACAGACGAGUGGAUGUCCGUCACACCUCUUAUUGCACCACAACAUAGGGUCCACGGUUGCGGAACCUGGUUACCAAGAUUCUUUUCGAUGAUACCCGAGCAGUCUCGCAUCACGUUAUUUUUAUCGAUGGUGCAGUGAUCUACUCCAUGGAUUGCUUGUGCAUUGCGCGAACAAGAAUAGAUGGCCAAAAAGACUAGGAGGCAUAACACUCCAGCUACUUUACGGUUGGUCAUGUUCUAUGUUGUGUAGUACUGUCGGUAUGUUUUAAUGCAUGACUUUUGCACCACUCGGCCUCUUAUAUAGCGGUUUUAGUGCAAG
rnacentral:lncRNA from 1 species